CCCCCCCCCCAGCUGAGGGAGGCUGCCUGCUUGAUUCUGGAGCUGUAUUGGUCUCUGGAAUUGCAUCCGGCUGGGAGCCGAAUUCAACGUGGCCCCCGCCGUCAGCUCCCAUGGGAAUCUUCUCCCCCAUGUGUCCGGCCCCUGAAGUUUGACCCUCAGGCGCCGCCUUCACGGUCCUUUCCUCUCCUCCUUGGCCGGGGUGCUUCUGGGACGAAGCCUCGGUGUUAUUCACCUGUUUGGGGGAAGGGGCCUUCGGGGGCGUCCCGCUCUCCAUAGCAUCCGAGCUCAGCGAAUCCUCUAAUGAGGAUUGUUUGGUACGGGACCUCGCCGGACUACAAAAAAUAUGGCUCAGGUUAAAAUAGUAUGCCAUUAUGAGUCUGGACGCAUAAAUGUACUCGGACUUUAUAUACUCACGAGUUCACCAGGGGCUGGGCCCUGGGAUCCCAUGCCGGGCCACUGUCGGCGGCGGCAGUAGACUCCUCCGGAAGAGGAGCUUUUCCCCUUUUAGGUGACUCGGCCUCCAAGUGUGCGGAGGCCGUCCUCUUCUUUCUUCCCUCCAUGGGGGAUUCAUCUUCCUCCUCCUCCUCGUCCUCUUCGGAGGCGGAACGGGCAUUGGAGCCUUCAGAUAUUGUGUCCGAAGUGCCGCGGCGACGAAGGCCGCCCCGGGUCUUUUUGGCCUCCUUCUCGACCGUCUUCUUCGGCACUUUGUAAGGCGCCGGGACUAGUAUCUUCCUCAGAAGUGGGACGGCCGGUUCUUCGGGCAGUAGGGCCGGACAAUGGAUCCGCUCCGCCUUCUUCAUCCAGUCCUAGGAGAGUUGUGGAAAACACGUUAAGCAUUACCUUUGGGUUAUGCGGAUAAAAAGUAUGAUGACUUACCGAGCUUGCAGGGCGGGACAGUUGGUACCCGCGGUCCUCGGCUGAGUCCGGCCAUGAUUUGCCGGACUUGAAAAGCACCUUCCAGAUGUCUUUAUGCGAGGAGCCAAAAAGCUCUCGCUAGGUUUGGUGCUUGACCGGAUCGAAUUCCCAUAGAUUGCAAGUCCGGUGUUGACAAGGUAGGAUCCGGCGAACUAACAUCACUUGGACUACAUUGACAAGCUCGAUGUUCUUGUCUUCCAUAUCUUUAACGCGCGUUUGGAGCACCGACAGUUCGUCGAACGAAGACUAGUUCAGGCCCUUCUUGACCCAGGAUGUAAGCCGGAGAGGGGCUCCGGAUCGAAACUCGGGAGUAGUGGCCCAUUCCGUGCCGCGCGGCUCGGUGAUGUAAAACCACUGCUGUUGCCACUCCUUGACGGAAUCAUUAAAGGUGCCUGUUGGCCAUGUGACGUUGGGCACCUUGCCCACCAUAGCACCCCCGCACUCGGCGUGCUCACCGCCCACUACCUUGGGCUUCACAUUAAAAAUCUUCAGCCAUAAGUUGAAAUGUGGCGACAUGCGGAGAAAAGCCUCGCACACGACGAUGAAUGUCGAGAUGUUGAGGAAGGAAUUGGGGGACAGAUCAUGAAGAUCGAUCCCGUAAUAAUACAUGAUGCUGCGAACGAACGGGUGGAGGGGAAACCCUAGCCCGCGGGCAAAGUGAAGGAGGAAUACAACCCUCUCGUGGGGUUCCGGAGUAGGGACGAUUUGUCCCGCCGUCGGAAGACGGUGGCUGAUUUUCUUGGCCAGAUACCCGGCCUCCCGAAGCUUUUUGAUAUCCUUCUCCCGGACAGUAGAGGCCAUCCACUUGCCUCCUGCUCCGGAUCCGGACAUUUUCGGAAGUCCUUUGUGGGCGGAGAAGAUGAACGCUUGGGCGCUGGAGCUCGAGCGAAGGGGAAUGGAUCGGGAAGAAGAAAGCGUGGGUGCGAAGGGGAGUCCUUAUCCCCUUAUAAAGGCAGCAGGGAUUCUGCGCCUCCCCACUUGCCUGGUAAACUCGCUUAUUCCCCAAGCGCCGUGAUUGAUGGCACAGUUGGGUUACCCACACCCGUAUUGAUGAGAAUCCCGUAAUAAGGGGACACGAUCUCUGCUUCGACAAGACGUGCCAAGAAAACCGCCUCGCAAUAUGUGCAGUAGCUGGUUGGAAAAAACGGUUCGAAUAAUGACCGGGCUGUUGCGUGAUGUCACGCUAUGAAACUUGUCAGCAGAUUAGACUUGUGGAAUAUUAUACUCUCUAUGGUGGUAUGUGGAAUUUUGUUUUGCAGAGCCGGACACUAUCCUUGUGUUCAAAAGCUUCUAUGGCGUAUUUGGAGGAGGAAUCCGCCUUGCAAUGCCGAAGACAAUCUGCGCGCCGAACUCAUCGUCAUUGAAGCCUGGUUCAGGGGCUACUGAGGGAGUCCUGGACUAGGGGGUCCUCGGACAGCCGGACUAUAUACUUUGGCCGGACUGUUGGACUAUGAAGAUACAAGAUUGAAGACUUCGUCCCGUGUCCGGGUGGGACUCUCCUUGGCGUGGAAGGCAAGCUUGGCAAUUCAGAUCUGUAGAUCUCCUCCCUUGUAACCGACUCUGUGUGAUCCCAGCCCCCUCUGGUGUCUAUAUAAACCGGAGGGUUUAGUCCGUAGGACAACAACAAUCAUAAUCAUAGGCUAGCAUCUAGGGUUUUAGCCUCUAUGAUCUCGUGGUAGAUCAACUCUUGUAAUACUCAUAUCAUCAAGAUGAAUCAAGCAGGAAGUAGGGUAUUACCUCCAUCGAGAGGGCCCGAACCUGGGUAAACAUUGUGUCCCCCGUCUCGUGUUACCAUCCGCCUUAGACGCACAGUUCGGGACCCCCUACCCGAGAUCCGCCGGUUUUGACACCGAUAACGGAUGAGAAAGUCUCAUCGUAGUCAACUCCUUAAACUUGUCGAAAACCUUUCGCAACAAGUCGAGCUUUGUAGACAGUAACAUUAUCGUCAGCGUCAGUCUUCCUCUUGAAGAUCCAUUUAUUCUCUAUGUCUUGCCGAUCAUCGAGCAAGUCAACCAAAGUCCACACUUUGUUCUCAUACAUGGAGCCCAUCUCAGAUUUCAUGGCCUCAAGCCAUUUCGCGGAAUCUGGGCUCAUCAUCGCUUCCUCAUAGUUCGUAGGUUCGUCAUGGUCAAGUAACAUGACGUCCAGAACCGUAUUACCGUACCACUCUGGUGCGGAUCUUACUCUGGUUGACCUACGAGGUUCGGUAGUAACUUGAUCAGAAGCUUCAUGAUCAUCAUCAUUAGCUUCCUCACUAAUUGGUGUAGGAAUCACUGGAACUGAUUUUUGUGAUGAACUACUUUCCAAUGAGGGAGCAGGUACAAUUACCUCAUCAAGUUCUACUUUCCACCCACUCACUUCUUUCGAGAGAAACUCCUUCUCUAGAAAGGAUCCAUUCUUAGCAACGAAAAUCUUGCCUUCAGAUCUGUGAUAGAAGGUGUACCCAACAGUUUCCUUUGGGUAUCCUAUGAAGACACAUUUCUCCGAUUUGGGUUCGAGCUUAUCAGGUUGAAGCUUUUUCACAAAAGCAUCGCAGCCCCAAACUUUAAGAAACGACAACUUGGGUUUCUUGCCAAACCACAGUUCAUAUGGUGUCGUCUCAACGGAUUUAGAUGGUGCCCUAUUUAACGUGAAUGCAACCGUCUCUAAAGCAUAACCCCAAAACGAUAGCGGUAAAUCAGUAAGAGACAUCAUAGAUCGCACCAUAUCUAAUAAAGUGCGGUUACGACGUUCGGACACACCAUUACGCUGUGGUGUUCCGGGUGGCAUGAGUUGUUAAACUAUUUCGCAUUGUUUCAAAUGAAGACCAAACUCGUAACUCAAGUAUUCACCUCCACGACCAGAUCGUAGAAACUUUAUUUUCUUGUUACGAUGAUUUUCCACUUCACUCUGAAAUUCUUUGAACUUUCCAAAUGUUUCAGACUUAUGUUUCAUCAAGUAGAUAUACCCAUAUUUGCUCAAAUCAUCUGUGAAGGUCAGAAAAUAACAAUACCCGCCGCGAGCCUCAACACUCACCGGACCGCAUACAUCAGUAUGUAUUAUUUCCAACAAGUCUGUAGCUCGCUCCACUAUUCCGGAGAACGGAGUCUUAGUCAUCUUGCCCAUGAGGCAUGGUUCGCAAGCAUCAAGUGAUUCGAAAAGCCCAUCAACAUGGAGUUUCUUCAUACGCUUUACACCAAUAUGACCUAAACGGCAGUGCCACAAAUAAGUUGCACUAUCAUUAUUAAACUUAUAUCUUUUGGCUUCAACACUAUGAAUAUGUGUAUCACUACUAUCGAGAUUCAAUAAAAAUAGACCACUCAUCAAGGGUGCAUGACCAUAAAAGAUAUUACUCAUAUAAAUAGAACAACCAUUAUUCUCUGAUUUAAAUGAAUAACCGUCUCGCAUCAAACAAGAUCCAGAUAUAGUGUUCAUGCUUAACGCUGGCACCAAAUAACAAUUAUUCAGGUCUAAAACUAAUCCCGAAGGUAGAUGUAGAGGUAGCGUGCCGACGGCGAUCACAUCGACUUUGCAACCAUUUCCCACGCGCAUCGUCACCUCGUCCUUAGCCAAUCUUCGCUUAAUCCGUAGCCCCUGUUUCGAGUUGCAAAUAUGAGCAACAGAACCAGUAUCAAAUACCCAGGCACUACUGCGAGCAUUAGUAAGGUACACAUCAAUAACAUGUAUAUCAAAUAUACCUUUCACUUUGCCAUCCUUCUUAUCCGCCAAAUAGUUGGGGCAGUUCCGCUUCCAGUGAUCAGUCCCUUUGCAGUAGAAGCACUCAGUCUCAGGCUUAGGUCCUGACUUGGGUUUCUUCAGUUGAGCAGCAACUUGCUUGCCGUUCUUCUUGAAGUUCCCCUUCUUCCCUUUACCCUUUUUCUUGAAACUAGUGGUCUUGUUGACCAUCAACACUUGAUGCUCCUUCUUGAUUUCUACCUCCGCAGCAUUUAGCAUUACGAAGAGCUUGGGAAUUGUCUUAUCCAUCCCUUGCAUAUUAUAGUUCAUCACGAAGCUUUUGUAGCUUGGUGGCAGUGAUUGAAGAACUCUUUCAAUGACACUAUCAACCGGAAGAUUAAAUCCCAGUUGAGUCAAGUGAUUAUGAUACCCAGACAUUUUGAGUAUCUGUUCACUAACAAAACUAUUCUCCUCCAUUUUGUAGCUGUAGAACUUAUUGGAGACUUCAUAUCUCUCAAUCCGGGCAUUUGCUUGAAAUAUUAACUUCAACUCCUGGAACAUCUCAUAUGCUCCAUGACGUUCAAAACGUCAUUGAAGUCCCGGUUCUAAGCCGUAAAGCAUGGCACACUGAACUAUCGAGUAGUCAUCAGCUUUGCUCUGCCAGGCGUUCACAACGUCCGGCGUUGCUCCUGCAGCGGGUCUUGCACCUAGCGGUGUUUCCAGGACGUAAUUCUUCUGUGCAGCAAUGAGGAUAAUCCUGAAGUUAUGGACCCAGUCCGUGUAGUUGCUACCAUCAUAUUUCAACCUAGCUUUCUCUAGGAAUGCAUUAAAAUUCAACGGAACAGUAGCACGGGCCAUUUAUCUACAACAACAUAGACAUGCAAAAUACUAUCAGGUACUAAGUUCAUGAUAAAUUAAAGUUCAAUUAAUCAUAUUACUUAAGAACUCCCACUUAGAUAGACAUCCCUCUAAUCAUCUAAGUGAUCACGCGAUCCAUAUCAACUAAACAUGUCCGAUCAUCACGUGAGAUGGAGUAGUUUUCAAUGGUGAACAUCACUAUGUUGAUCAUAUCUACUAUAUGAUUCAUGCUCGACCUUUCGGUCUCAGUGUUCCGAGGCCAUAUCUGCAUAUUCUAGUCUCGUCAAGUUUAACCCGAGUAUUCUGCGUGUGCAAAACUGGCUUGCACCCGUUGUAUGUGAACGUAGAGCUUAUCACACCUGAUCAUCACAUCGUGUCUCGGCACGACGAACUGUCGCAACGGUGCAUACUCAGGGAGAACACUUGUACCUUGAAAUUUAGUGAGAUAUCAUCUUAUAAUGCUACCGCCGUACUAAGCAAAAUAAGAUGCAUAAAGGAUAAACAUCACAUGCAAUCAAUAUAAGUGAUAUGAUAUGGCCAUCAUCAUCUUGUUCCUUUGAUCUCCAUCUCCAAAGCACCAUCAUGAUCACCAUUGUCACCGGCUUGACACCUUGAUCCCAUCGAAGCAUCGUUGUCGUCUCGCCAACUAUUUCUUCUACGACUAUCGCUACCGCUUAGUGAUAAAGUAAAGCAAUUACAUGGCGAUUGCAUUUCAUACAAUAAAGCGACAACCAUAUGGCUCCUGCCAGUUGCCGAUAACUGUUACAAAACAUGAUCAUCUCAUACAACAAAUUACAUAUCAUCACGUCUUGACCAUAUCACAUCACAGCAAGCCCUGCAAAAACAAGUUAGACGUCCUCUACUUUGUUGUUGCAAGUUUUACGUGGCUGCUACGGGCUUAGCAAGAACCGUUCUUACCUACGCAUCAAAACCACAACGAUUUUUCGUCAAGUGUGUUGUUUUAACCUUCAACAAGGACCGGGCGUAGUCAUACUCGAUUCAACUAAAGUUGGAGAAACAGACACCCACUAGCCACCUGUGUGCGAAGCACAGCGGUAGAACUAGUCUCAUGAACGCGGUCAUGUAAUUAUCCAACAAUACCGCCGAAUCAAAGUAUGACAUGCUGGUAAGCAGUAUGACUAUUAUCGCCCACAACUCCUUGUGUUCUACUCGUGCAUAUAACAUCUACGCAUAGACCUGGCUCGGAUGCCACUGUUGGGGAACGUAGUAUUUCAAAAAAAUUCCUACGAUCACGCAAGAUCUAUCUAGGAGAAGCGUAGCAACGAGCAGGGAGAGUGUGUCCACGUACGCUCGUAGACCGAAAGCGGAAGCGUUAAGUAACGCAGUUGAUGUAGUCGAACGUCUUCGCGAUCCAACCGAUCAAGUACCGAACGCAUGGCACCUCCGCAAUAUGCACACGUUCAGCUCGGUGACGUCCCUCGAACUCUAGAUCCAGCUGAGGCCGAGGGAGAGUUCCGUCAGCACGACGGCGUGGUGACAGAGAUGAGGAAGGUACCGACGCAGGGCUUCGCCUAAGCACUACGAUGAUAUGACCGAGGUGUAAAACUGUGGAGGGGGGCACCGCACACGGCUAAAGAUCAACUUGUGUGUCUAUGGGGUGCCCCCUCCCCCGUAUAUAAAGGAGGGGAGGAGGAGGCCAGCCGGCCACAAGGGGCGCGCCAAGGGGGGGAGGAAUCCUACUCCUAGUAGGAGUAGGUUUCCCCCUUUCCUAGUCCAACUAGGAGGAGAAGGAAUGAGAGGGAGAGGGAGAGGGAAAGAGGGGCCGUGCCCCCUCCCCUAGUCCUAUUCGGACUCCCCUCGGGGGGACGCCACCUCUUGGAUGCGGCCCUCUCUCUCCCCUAAGGCCCACUAGGCCCAUAACUCCCCGGGGGGGGGGGGUUCCAGUAACCCUCCGGCACUCCGGUUUUACCCGAAACUCUCCGGAACACUUCCAUUGUCCGAACAACAUGGUCCGAUAUAUCAAUCUUUAUGUCUCGACCAUUUCGAGACUCCUCGUCAUGUCUGUGAUCACAUCUGGGACUCCGAACAACCUUCGGUACAUCAAAUCACAUAAACUCAUAAUACCAAUCAUCAUCGAACGUUAAGCGUGCGGACCCUACGGGUUCGAGAACUAUGUAGACAUGACCGAGACACAUCUCCGGUCAAUAACCAAUAGCGGAACCUGGAUGCUCAUAUUGGUUCCUACGUAUUCUACGAAGAUCUUUAUCGGUCAAACCGCAUAACAACAUACGUUGUUCCCUUUGUCAUCGGUAUGUUACUUGCCCGAGAUUCGAUCGUUGGUAUCACCAUACCUAGUUCAAUCUCGUUACCGGCAAGUCUCUUUACUCGUUCUGUAAUGCAUCAUCCUGCAACUAACUCAUUAGUCACAUUGCUUGCAAGGCCUAUAGUGAUGUGCAUUACCGAGAGGGCCCAGAGAUACCUCUCCGACAAUCGGAGUGACAAAUCCUAAUCUGGAUCUAUGCCAACUCAACAAACGCCAUUGGAUACACCUGUAGAGCAUCUUUAUAAUCACCCAGUUACGUUGUGACGUUUGAUAGCACCCUAAGUGUUCCUCCGGUAUUCGGGAGUUGCAUAAUCUCUGAGUCAGAGGAACAUGUAUAAGUCAUGAUGAAAGCAAUAGCAACAAACUAAACGAUCAUAGUGCUAAGCUAACGAAUGGGUCUUGUCCAUCACAUCAUUCUCUAAUGAUGUGAUCCCGUUCAUCAAAUGACAACACAUGUCUAUGGCUAGGAAACAUAACCAUCUUUGAUAAACAAGCUAGUCUAGUAGAGGCAUACUAGGGACACUCUAUUUGUCUACGUAUUCACACAUGUACUAAGUUUCCGGUUAAUACAAUUCUAGCAUGAAUAAUAAACAUGUAUCAUGAUAUAAGGAAAUGUAAAUAACAACUUUAUUAUUUCCUCUAGGGCACAUUUCCUUCAGCUCUCCAUCAUGUUCGAGCCCAGCGAAUUCCCAGAAGACGAUGAUCGUUCGUGGAGAUCGCGAGAUGGACUACAAUACGUGAUUCCAUGUGUUAAAAUCGCAAGGCAUAAAGUUGGAUAUGUACAUUAUCUUUAAAUACUUACGAUUCGGCCGAGGGCUUCGGCAUGGGGUGCCACUCAGGGAUGGCUUCGACGUCCGAUUCCGAAUCGUCUGAAAGGGAGAGUUUCCCCUUCUUGGACGCCUCUGCCUCUAGGUCCACGGAAGGCCCCCUUUUCUUCUUUCCCCCCUCCGGGGGAGAAUUGUUCUCCUCCUCUUCCUCCUCGUCUUCAUCUCCCUCGUGGGAGGAGAGAGCUUCGGUGUCUUCAGACGUUAUGUCCGAAGUGCCUUUACGGCGAAGGCCACUUCUGACCUCCUUGCCCUUCUUCUUGGUCUUCUUUUCUGGCGCCUGGUACGGCGCCGGAACCAGCAUCUUCGUCAGAAGAGGAAUAGAUGGGUCUUCGGGCAGGGGAGCCGGACACUGGAUCCGUUCUGCCUUCUUCGUCCAGCCCUGGAGGAUAAAGGGAAGGCUUAAGCUUAUUCCUUGGAUCUAUAAAUCGGAUAUGAUUAGAAAUCUGAAAAACUUACUCGGUUGGCUGGAUGAGCGCAGUCGAGGCCGAGGUCUUCGGUCGUUGGCGGCCACGUCUUUUGGGUCUUAAAAAGAAGCUUCCAUAUAUCUUCGUGCUUCGUGCCGAAGAACCGCUGCAAGGUCCGGGGACUUGCCGGAUCAAACUCCCACAUAUGGAGAAUCCGGCGUUGGCAGGGGAGAAUCCGGUGAAACAUCAUCACCUGGAUCACGCUGGCAAGGCUGGUAUUCUUGUCUACCAUGCUCUUGACGCGCUUUUGCAGCAUCGCCACUGGAUGACGCCCAAUCCAGGCCCUUACUGAGCCACGAUGUGACCCGCAGUGGUGGACCGGAUUUGAACCCAGGGGUGGCGGCCCAUGUGGUGUCAUGAGGUUCCGUAUAAUUAAAACCACUCCUGUUGCCACCCUUUCACGGUCUCUACGAAGGUCCCCUUUGGCCAAGUGACGUUGGGGAGUUUACUCACCAUAGCGCCGCCACACUCCGCGCGUUGACCCUCGACCACUUUCGGCUUCACAUUGAAGACCUUGAGCCACAAGCCAAAGUGGGGGGGAUGCGGAGGAACGCCUCACACACGACGAUGAACGCCGAGAUAUUGAGGAAUGAAUUUGGGGCUAGAUCGUGGAAAUCUAGCCCGUAAUAGAACAUGAGUCCGCGGACGAAAGGGUGGAGAGGAAACCCUAGCCCGCGAAGAAAGUGGGGGAUGAAUACUACCCUCUCAUUGGGCUCUGGUGUGGGAAUGAUCUGCUUUUUGGCAGGGAGCCGACGGGCGAUUUCUUUGGCUAAAUACCCCGCUUCCCGGAGCUCCUUGAUGUUCUCCUCCGUGACGGAGGAGGCCAUCCACUUGCCCUGCGCUCCAGAUCAGGACAUGGUCGGAGCGCUAGUUGGGGACGGGAAGGGUCGAAGCUGGGGCGCUCGAGCUCAAGGACAGAUGGGCUGAGGAGGAAGAAGGCGUGGGGUGAAAAGCGUAUCCUUAUCUUCUUAUGAAGGUAGUGAAUAUCGAGCGUCCCCCCAUGAGCCUUAAAACUCGCCUGUUCCCCAGGAGUCGUGCGAAUGGCACGGUUGGAUUACCCAAAUCCGUAUCGAUGAGAAUCCCGCGAUAAGGGGACACGAUCUCUGCUUUGACAAGACAUGUCAAUGAAUACCGCAUCUCGAAACGCGAAGCGGGAGGAUGAAAAAUGGUUUGAAAUAAUAAUAAGGCCAGAGCACAAUGCCUCGCCGAAAAAGCUGUCAGAAGACAUAACCUAUUUUUAUUUAAGUAUUUUUCCCUUGCGGUUCAGGGUUGUAACUAUUGUACAGAGCCAGAUUAUUGUACAGAGCCGGAUGUAGUUCUUUUGGUCAACUACUUUGAAGUAUUUGGAGGAGGAACCCACCUUGCAAUGCCGAAGACAAUCUGCGCGCCGGACACAUCGUCAUUGAAGCCUGGUUCAGGGGCUACUGAGGGAGUCCUGGAUCAUGGGGUCCUCGGGCGUCCGGGCUAUGUGACAUGGGCCAGACUGGUGUCCGGGCUAUGUGACAUGGGCCAGACUGGUGUCCGGAUGGGACUCUUCUUUGCGUGGAUGACAAGCUUGGCGUGCGGACAUGAAGAUUCCUUUCUCUGUAAACCGAUUCUGUACAACCCUAGCCCCCUCCGGUGUCUAUAUAAACCAGAGGGUUUAGUCCAUAGAGGCAAUCAUAAUCAUACAGGCUAGACAUCUAGGGUUUAGCCAUUACGAUCUCGAGGUAGAUCAACUCUUGUAACCCAUAUACUCAUCAAAGUCAAUCAAGCUAGAAGUAGGGUAUUACCUCCAUUAAGAGGGCCCGAACCUGGGUAAACAUCGUGUCCCCCGCCUCCUGUUACCUUCGAUCCUUAGACGCACAGUUCGGGACCCCCUACCCGAGAUCUGCCGGUUUUGACACCGACAACCAUGAACUUAAUACACUAGAUGCAUGCUAGAUAGCGGUCGAUGUGUGGAGUAAUAGUAGUAGAUGCGUAAUCGUUUCGGUCUACUAAUCUUGGACGCGAUGCCUAUAUACAUGAUCAUUGCCUCAUGUAUCAUCAUAAUUAUUUGUUUUUCUAUCAAUUGCCCAACAGUAAUUUGUUUACCCAGCGUAUGCUAUGUUCUCGAGAGAAGCCUCUAGGGAAAACUAUGGCCCCGGGUCUAUUUCCUAUCAUAUAUUAAAUCCAAAAUAACUUGCUGCAAUUUUUCUUUAUUUAUUUUAUUUUGUAUUUUUGUUAGAUAUAUUUAUCAAACAUGUAUAAUUUAAUCUAUCUCAAUACCGUUGAGGGAUUGACAACCCCUCUUACGUGUUGGGUUGCAAGUAUUUUGUUGUUUGUGUGCAGGUGUUGUUUACAUAGUGUUGCUUGGUUCUCCUGCUGGAUUGAUAACCUUGGUUCAUAACCGAGGGAAAUACUUACCUUUGCUUUUCUGCAUCAUCCUCUCCUCUUCGGGGAAUUACCAAUGAAGAUCACAAGCAUUCAUAGACAGUCGGAAGUCGUCAUGCUAAAGCCCAGGAGGACCAGCGCAGCAGAACAACAGCCGCCGCCGAUGAAGAGAAGCGUAGACCGGAAAGAUCUAACCUGAAGGCACACGAACACAUACGAACGAAGACCGGAUCCAAGUGGAUCCAUCAAAGACAAACACCGACUGAAUCCCGCGAGAUCCGUCGGACAUAAAUCUCCACACGCCCUCUGAUAAUGCUAGACGCAUCACCAGAAAGGGCUAAGCGGGGAGAACCUUAUUCCAACAUCAGAAAGCCGCCGCCACUUUGUCUUCCUGAACAGAACACAAACCCUAGACAAACACAAAAAAACACCUAAAAACGAUGUAGGAGCCCUCCCGCCGGCAAGAGCCAAGAUCCAUUGCGUCUCCAUGGCCUGACACCACUGAAGACAAAGCGAUCUACGACGGCGCCAACGUGAGGCGUCGGUUCUUGGUCGCCCUCGCACGAGCGCACGAGGUGAAGGCCCGGAGACGUACGAAGGACUAGAGAUAACCUUAGGAAAAGGCAUAUCAUCAAACCUCUAGAUUGUGUGUUCUGCUUUGAAACCGAAUCUAUCCAGCACUUGUUUUUUAGUUGUGUAGUAGCUAGAUAUGUGUGGGCAAUUUUUAGGGAGCAUUUCAACAUAAAUUUGGGGUCCUAUUUACAUGUCCUUUGCUAGGUUUUGGCUAUCUAACAUGCAUAAAUCUGCCCUUAAUGUAGCAUGUGCAACUGCUAUGUGGUAUUUGUGGAAUAUUAGAAAUUCCAUGAUUUUUAACAAUACCACAUGGACUUCUGUAAAACAGGUUAUUGGGAAGAUUCACAACCUGGUCAAGAUUUGGGCGAUCUUGUCCACAAAUCAAUGGAAGAAAAGUUUGGGGGACUUCUCAAUGGGGUGAAAAUGAGGACUCCAUUGGCCAUCAGAAGUGGCCGAGCUGGGACAAACUGAAGAUCAUGAAUGCAGAACAAGUGGACCAUGACUCCACCUACUCCUUACAAGAUGGUUGCAGGAAGUGUGGUGGUCAGCCCAACCUCGGCGCUGGACCCCAGGUGGUCUCCGCAGCUUGCAAUAGCUCCACCGGUGAAGUCCAGGAGGGCUUUCUAUGAACUUGACAUAUUUGCCGCCUGAAGCUAUCCAGCCCCNNNNNNNNNNNNNNNNNNNNNNNNNNNNNNNNNNNNNNNNNNNNNNNNNNNNNNNNNNNNNNNNNNNNNNNNNNNNNNNNNNNNNNNNNNNNNNNNNNNNNNNNNNNNNNNNNNNNNNNNNNNNNNNNNNNNNNNNNNNNNNNNNNNNNNNNNNNNNNNNNNNNNNNNNNNNNNNNNNNNNNNNNNNNNNNNNNNNNNNNNNNNNNNNNNNNNNNNNNNNNNNNNNNNNNNNNNNNNNNNNNNNNNNNNNNNNNNNNNNNNNNNNNNNNNNNNNNNNNAAGGGAUGGAAAAAGAUCUGUAAUGAACUGUAUUUCCCUUAGUUUCUCUUCCUCUUAGUUGGUACUUGAUUGCUCUGUGGCAUCCAUCUGGAAAAACCGUUAGUUUAUUUUCGCACCUUUACGCUCGUUUCAGGGGAGACUCGUUUGUUCUGAAUCUUGGUUUAAUUUAUCAAUAUGGAGCCAGGGACAUGGUCCGUUUCCUUCUAAAAAAGUACCAUUUACGGCAGGGGCGCUGGAGCAACUUAAAGUUAUUUUUGGAUUCCAAGUUUCCAACCAACGGGCCGCCCUGAAUUCAUUCCUAUCAAAGGGAAUGCAUUAACCUACUAGUAUUAAAUUGAAAUGUUUCCACCAUGACACUAAUAAAAAAAUAAAACAACCUUUUCUCUGAACUAGGGUCUCGUCGUUGCAUUUUGUUAAAUACACGACAUCAACAGCAACCAUGCAUGUUCACGUAUUUCUUCUAGAAAAGUUGUUCUGGAAAGGCUCACCAGUUUCUCGAUCACAAACAAAACUCUUCCUUACACUCUUCAAUAUAUAUUACUCCUUAUACGAAAAGACUAGUGUCAUUAUCUUUUUGUUGAGAUACUAAUACAUACAUACAAAAAUGGAAGAAAAGUAGGAAUAAAAAAAAGAAGCCCAGUUCAAAACUCCAAGUCAGGUGACAAGUGUUUGUGCAUGCACGCAAACAUGCUCUUAUGUCUCUGAGCUGACAAAAUAACUGGUUCGGAGUAGUGAUUGAAAAAGGUUUGGAAAAUUAAUUUACUAUGAUUAAUUAGAUUUAUGGCAGGAGCCGUAGAAUAUCUUCAAAUUUAUUGUUGGAUUCUCACUAACAGGCCGCUAUCAAUUCAUUCCUAUCAAGGGAAACACAUUAACCACUCAUGAAGGUACCCUCAUAUCAAAACAAAUGUUUCCACUAUGAAUAAUAUGAAAAGAAUCAACCUUUUUAUGAGGUAGGAUCUCAUUGCCUUUAUGUGAAAAUACGUGUCAUCCAUAGCAACCACACUUGCUCGUGUAUUUCUUCUAGAAAAGUUGUUUUGGGAAGCCCCACAAGUUUCUCGGUCACAAAAGAAACCCUUCCUUAUACUCUUCAAUGUAUAUUUCUCUUUUCUACGAAAAGACUCUAGCAACUUUUUGUUGCGAUGCUAAUACUGGUGACAAAAGGAGAAGAAAAGCAGAAAAAAACUAUGGCUCAAAGCUCCAAGUCAGGUGACAAGUGUUUGUACAUGCAUGAGCCAUGCUCUCCUGUCUCUGAGCUGGAAAAAAUGGAUCUAAAUGCUGAUUAGUAACUGAAGAAAAGCUUGGAAACUUUUGCAGAUUUUGUUUUCUUGAGUUUUUAAUUUGGAAAAAAAUUAGUGCGGUUCAGACCUCCAAGUCAGGUGACAAGUGUUUGUGCAUGCACGAGCCAUGCUCUUAUGUCUCUGAGCUGGAAAAAUAAAUAAUUCUAAAUGCUGAUUAGUAACUGAAAAAAAGCUUGGAUGCUUCUGUAGAUUUAUUUAUUUAUUUUGAGAAUGUAAAUUUUGUUCUUUGAGAAUAAACUUUUGCUGAUUCAUAGUUAGUUAGCCCUUAAUCCAGCACCCCAAAGAAAAGAAAAGAAAAAAAAAAAAAAGGAAAGCCGCUUUGAGACGGGCGCACGGCCACACGAGGCGAUGCCUUGAAACCGUGCAAGGUAGGCUCCUCGCCUCUAGUUUCGUGGCAUUCGAUGCAUGGAUGCUGCACUAACCUUGAGGCAAAACAGUAAAGGAGUAGAGCCAUCAAAUCAAAGAAAAAGAAAUCACAAUCUUUCUGGUACUAUACUACAGAUCUUGGCCGUCCGUAAUACAUGCAUUCAUGCGGGUCGGACGCCCGUGCAGCCGGUGUGACACGUCACCCGGUGUACUGGAAUGUUCGUAUACUUCCUGGUACCCAAAUACAAUGUGCACCGAAGAAAAAAACAGAGAUGGAGUGAGCGAGAAAAAGCAAGGAAGCAGCACCAAAACGAGAAGAAAAGAAAUCCCGGGGAUAGAGAUGCCAAAUCAUUUCCAUGCGGAUCUCGCCAUCGCAGCCCCUCCCUCGCGGUGCCCACCCGCUACUUAAGGCGAGUGAGUGAGGCCACCCCCUCCACCCCACUGCCAGUCUUGUAGCGAGCGACACACCCACAGGGAGCCGCAGAGAGCCACCACCACCACCACCACCCAACGCCACCAGACAAGCAGGGCCGUGGGAGCGGGACAGAGGAGGAAGGACGAGCGCCAUGGGCGAGGUAAGGAAGGACGCUUGCUUGCUUGCCUGCCUGCUACUGCAUUCCUCGGCGGCGGCGGCGGCGGUGAGGCGGGUUGAAUCUUGACUGACUGACUGACGCCCGUCGUGGUGUGGUGUUUUGGUUCGCAGGAGGAGAAGAAGCCCAAGGAGGAGGAGAAGCCCAAGGAGGAGGAGCCGAAGAAGGAGGAGAAGCCCAAGGAGGGGGAGGAGGACAAGCCCAAGGACGACAAGCCCAAGGAGGGGGAGGGCGAGGGGGAGAAGCCCAAGGAGGAGGAGGCGGCGCCCCCGCCGCCGCCGCCGCCGCCGGAGGAGGUCGUGAUGCGCGUCUACAUGCACUGCGAGGGCUGCGCCAGGAAGGUCAAGAAGAUCCUCAAGAGAUUCGAUGGUAAUGCGCCUCAUCUAUUCUAAUUAAUCCCUGCUCUCUAAUUUCCUCUGCUUUGCUUUGCUUUGCUGCAUCAGGAUUCGCCGGUCAGAGUAAAUCUUUUCGUUUUCGUUUCGUUUUGAACUAGUAGUACGCUGUCACGUGGAUUUUAUUUCCUUAGUGCAGGAACAUUUUUACGGAGUUCGUUCGACAUUUUCUUCGUGAGUGUUCUUAGGGAGUGCGUGUUUUCUGCAUCUUGAUUCACGAAUCAUCAUGGUUAGUGGUAGACUUGUGUUCUCCUUGCGGUUGUGGGAAGCAAGCUAAAAGUGAAUCUGUUUGUUUGUUCAUCAGAUUUAAGAGACAUGAUGAUGUGGUUGGCUACCUCUAAUCUUUUUUUUAGGAUUCCUCCUUAUGUCCUUGUAUUAAAAAAAGGGUCCAGAUUUUGUGUUUUUCUCUGUGCUGUUCUGACGUCCAAUUAAGUGAUAUUGUAAGGUUGUUCCGUGUGCAAUUCAUAGUGGACUAGGUCGUGGGCUAAGCUUUUAAAUAAACAGAUUCACCUAAUUAAUAAGAUCCUCUUGUCUAAAAAAUAAAAUAAAAUAAAUAAGAUCCUCCUUUCUCAUGAGCCGCACAUGAAUCUGGUGGUUGAUUAAUGGUGAUGGGAAUGACUUUUCACUCCAAAAGGUUGGAGUACAUUCCAAGAGAAUGACAACCUUUGAGUAUACAAUGCCCUUGAGGCCACACGUCCUCAAAAGUUAAGCUGAUUCCUCUAUCAUCUCCAAAUACUGCUCAAAAUGUUCCAAGCAUCUCUGCAUAUUCUCCAUGCACUACUUGUUGCUAUCAAGGGAAAAUUAAAGUUUCUUUGGCUCAAAGAUCCAUUCUCUGUUCUACCUAGUACCGCAUCUGAAAACCUUUUUGUGUGGAUUCAGGGGUAGAGGACGUCAUUGCCGACUCCAAGGCACACAAGGUGGUUGUGAAGGGAAAGAAGGCGGCUGCCGACCCGAUGAAGGUGGUGGAGCGCGUUCAGAAGAAGACGGGCCGCAAGGUGGAGCUCCUCUCGCCGUUACCGCCGCCGCCGGAGGAGAAGAAGGAAGAGGAAAAGAAGGAGGAACCAGAGCCGCCGAAACCUGAAGAGAAAAAGGAGGUGAAGGACCUUAACGAAUGCACGCAAUGCAGUACUAGUUUGUAUGGUAAUUUUCUUCAGAUUUGGCAAAACUGACUGAAUGAUGUUUGGUUCUGAAGCCAACGGUGAUCUCCGUGGUGCUGAAGGUGCACAUGCACUGCGAGGCCUGCGCCCAGGCGAUAAAGAAGAGGAUCGAAAAGAUGAAAGGUGCGUAAUGGGCUGCUGCGGGAUUGCCUGUCCUUUUUUCAUUUCUCUCUCGCGUCAUUUUCAUCAGGACAGAAACACCUAUGGCUUUUCUCUUACUAUUUAUUUUCACUAGCUCCUCCUAGAAUUAGUUUACUACUAUGUGUCAUGUUUAGAAUCUACCUAGUGAUUCAGCAAAGGUCAAGCAAAUCUUUCCUCUGAUGCAAUGAUGAAAAAAAGAGGGAUUCCUCUUUAGGUCGAUGGCUGAAACAAAGCCAAAAUGUGGGCCUUGUACGUGUAGCUCCUUUUCUUGCAAAAGAUGCACAACUGUGUGCAGAUAAGAUUCACUCCUUCACCUACCUGUCUGCCUAUAUACCGUGACAAGAUUAAUCUGGAUCGUAUAAAAAAAAUUCUGCCUAAAAUCACACUAGAUAGAUCAUCCUCGAGCUCGGUGAUACUUUGUUAUGUAGUAGUAUUGCUGAAGAUUUUUGGUUCGAAAUUAUGCAGGAGUGCAAUCUGCAGACCCAGACCUGAAGGCGUCGGAAGUGACGGUGAAGGGCGUGUUUGAGGAGGUCAAGCUGGCCGAGUACGUGCACAAGCGCACCGGCAGGCAUGCGGCCAUUAUCAAGUCCGAGCCGGUCGCCCCGGCCGAGAAAGCCGGCGAAGGCGACGCCAAGGAUGAGAAGAAGGCAGCCGAAGGCGGCGAAGAGAAGAAAGACGACAAGGAGGAGAAGAAGGACGACAAGGAUGGCGCCCCAGAGGAAAAGAAAGAGGAGAAAGACAAGGAGGAUGGCGGCGCCGGCGGCGAGGAGAAGGAGAAGGAGAAAGACCCCGGCGCCAUCGCCGCAGCCAACCUCUACAUGCACUACCCGCAGUUCGCCUUCCCGGGAGGGUACUACCCGCCGAGGCCGGGGUACGCCGCCUACCCUCCGCCGCCGGCCUACCCGCCGUACCCGCCGCAGAUCUUCAGCGACGAGAACCCGAACGCCUGCUCCGUCAUGUAAAAAAGGUUAGAACCUUGGUGGUCUAGAGUGGAAAACAAAUAAGAAGGGGAGAAGGGACUGCAUGAGUUGAGGGGUGCCAUGGCAGCAAAAAUGCCGUCGAGCAAAGCAAAUGGCAGCAGCUUGAAGAAAGUACCAGGCUUUUUUGCGGUCAGGUUUUCCUUUUUUUUGAACCUUUUAUGUUUUUACCGUCUGGUAUAAAGUAAGUCUGGACUUCCUUGUCAGUUGAUGGAUGUUUUCAUCUUAUGUAGAUUUUUCUUUUUGCCUUGUACUGAACUUAUGUAAAAACUGUUAUUAUAGUAUAGUAAUUCUCUCCAUCUCCUUGGCUGUGUACUGGAGCCUGGCUCUAAACAUCUAGGACCCGGAAGAACAGUCGCCCUGUCAAAAAACUGUGGUGGUGAAAGGGAGAAGUCACAGGGGGUGGGGUGGGGUAAAUGAAAUGGAAUGGCAAUGGUGAGAUGCAAGAGGAGGUAGGAGACAAGUGGUUGUCAUGUGCAUGGGGCAUGUGAGAUGGGUCCCACUUUUGCAUAACACAAAAUCCUAGGCGGAUUGCAGCUUCAAUCUUGAUGCGCCCACUUUUUACCCGGUAGCCCACUAGCUGAUGAUAUCCAGGGGCUACAGACUUUGGAGCUUGCUGUGAAUGUGAGGGAAUACUUUCCCAUCAUCAUCCUCCGACUUGAGGUUGCUUGCUUCCCUUGCAAAAUAUGAUGGUUUUGCCUACGUCCCUGACUGCCCUGCGAUUCCUUUCUACUCCUGCCGUGUGGCUUGUGAUACUUUGUAUUUUACUUAUUAUUAUAUUAAUGCGAAAAAAAUUCCGUAAAACCUCAAUGAUAGUAAUAAUAAUAAUAAUUAUUAUUAUGAUUAUUAUUAUCAUCAUUAUACAGGGGCCUGUUUGAAAGGUACUCGUAUAAGUUUAUUGAAUUGCAUGCAUCAGUUUUGUACAGUGUUCAAAGCAGGCAAUUGUUUCAAAAUGUAAAAGGCUUCUACCAUCAUCCUUACCGUGGGUUAGCAUCCACAAGUUUUUAGUAUAAACUCUGGAUUUCGUUGUCAGACAUGAUUCCAAUAGUUGAUGUUUCCAAAAUUGCGGGGAGUAUGGUACAGAAUGGGGCUUUUUUUUUCUGCGAAUAAGUACGGAAUGGGGCUUGAUGUGUCAACCUUGAGCUAUUCUUUGCCCAUAUAAUUUUCUCACUUAUUUGAGCUUUAAUCAAUCUUCCAUGAAAUAAAUAUAUCAGUGGUUCACAGACUCUCAGACCAACAAUACCGUUUCAUCUGUAUCUCUCCUACAAGAGACUGGGCAAAACCCUAGGCGCCGCCACCCCGUCCUCUCCCUUCUCCCCGUCCCCCCUUGCCGCUGGGUGCGGCGGCAGGGAUCCUUUUUCUCCUCCCCUGGUCUACUGCGGUGUGGGCCCGACAUCUAGGCGGUGAUGCCACUCUUUGGCGUAGGGCGUAGCACCGAUGGCGUGGUUGGGCGGUGGCUGCGUGGCGACAGCGAUGUUCCUCUCCCCUUCCGUCUUUGGAUCCUCCUUCCUCGACUUCCUGCAUGAAGCCGAUUGGCUGGGCUCUAGAUCCGAACGUCCCGAUGACCGGCUGCAUCCUCAUCGGCCGAUGGGGCCCGGUGGUGCAUCGUUUUGGAUCCCUUGCCAUGUGGGGGGAGGGGUUCAUCUUCCUGGGAAGUUGUGGCCGUAGCCAGGGGCCAGCGGUUGCCUCCUACUCGUUGUUGCGUGGUAGGGGAAGAUGGGGAUGGUUUCCCCCGUCCAGAUUUGGUAUCCAUUGACCGAUUUGGGUUCACUGGUUGCCGCCGCAGACCGUGGUGGCACUGACAUGGUGUGCGCCUUCGUCCAUGGUAUGACGUGGGAAAGGAAAGGAGGAGCCUUUCUGUCUCAUUGCCGGUGAGUGAGGUAUUCGGGGUUUGGAGUUGGUGUGCGGGAUCGAGGUUGGGAACUUGGAAGUCGGGACGGUGACCUCGGGUGGUGGUCUGUCGGAUUGGCUUUUAAGUAGGCGUCUUGGCAGUGAUGAUGGUUGCAUCUUUUGGUCUUGUGGGCGGCGAAGGAUGUAGCACUCAGUAAUGCUGGUGUCGGCGGUGCCUCAGCGUUGGCAUUUCUUAGGUCGUGCUCUGGAGGUCAUCUUUGGUGGUGGCUUUUCUUUCCUCUGAGUGGAUUGGUGCUCUGGGUUCCUUGAGUGAGCGGGUGAGAGGCCCCGGGCAAAAGCCUUGUGCUCCAUCGCUAACAGUGCUGAUGCUAGUGGGUGUCGUGUCCCUCUUGGGGGCGCCGUUGUGGUCCUUCUCGCCAAGUCAUGGCUUCGGGUGAAAACCCUUGACCGUACCCUCGGUCUCGAUGGCUGCGAUGCGUUGUUUACUCUUUCUCUAAAGGACUUCGUCAUGGAGCCCAGAUUUCCUCAGGUGCACCACGCCAUCAUUGGCGGACAUUUUCGAAUCCUGGCUUGAAGCUUCCUCAGCUCUCGCGCGGGCAACCACACUUGUCCCCUUAUCUUAUACAUGGGACCUUGUUGGUGCCACUCGCUGUCCUUGUUAUCUCCUGGCAGGGCUCGACGGUCCGGAGAGGGAGGGCAAGGGGCCCUCUUUGGCAACAACUUGGUGUGAGAGGUGGAACGAGAUCCGAUGAUUUCCCUUGGUGGCUAGUCUUCUUCCUUGUCGGUAGUCUAGGUUGCUUUUGUGGUAGGGUGUGGAUUCUCCUAUAUUCUUAUUUUACUUUGAUAUGCUUUGUAAGAGCAUCUACAACUGGGUGCCCCAAAUCCGUCUCAAACGCCCCGGCGGGCUGACCGGUCACAAAAAAUCGACUCAGCCAGGCGCCUCAACCCGUCCUCAAACGCCCGGGCUGACCGGCGCCCCUCAUAUCCAGCCCAAAUAUGAGGCGGAUAUGGGGCAGCCCAGGCACGUCCGCCUGACAAGUCCGGCCCACCACCGACCACACGAUUGUCCCACAAAAAAACUCCAUCCGGCUCAUCGGUCCAAACCCUAGCUCACUCGCACUCUCCUCUCUCGCUCUGUCCUCUUCUCUUCCCACACCGAUUUUGAUCGAAUCCGGCGCAAUGUCGAGCUCCAGCAGCCGCUGCGACUCCGAGAUGGAUCCCGACUUUGAGCUGGCCCUCCGCAUUGCCUUGGACCGGUCCAAGGUGGAGACCGGGGCAUCUCUAGAUUUGUAGCGUCGCCGCAGAAGCAACUCCCCCGCCGGCGCAGCGCGAACGCCGUCGCUGGCCCCUCCCGGCCCGUGCGCAGCUCCGACAGGCCUGUGCAAUCCGCGCCUCCCCUAUGUCGUCCCCUGGACGCGUCGGCUACUGCUCCGCCACGUGGGCAGCGGUGGGUGCUUAUGCCCGCCUCGCCGGCCCGGACACACACGCCGAAAUCAUAGGCGUGUGCAACCUGCUGCGAGAGGCAGCGGGAAAGGGAGAGGAAGGUGGCGGAGCAGUCCAUGCGCCGCCGUCGCGGGAUGCAGGCGGACCUCGACGAGGACGCGCGGCUCCUCAAUUGGGUCUACCGCCGACACUUACGAUCGUGGAGACGGACGCGCGGCGGCUCCGCCGGAAGAAUGCCAAGGCACUCCAGAUUUCCAUUGAGCAGUCCGAGCGUGAGGUGGCGGAGGCGGCUUGGCUCGUGAAGCUCAAGCGGCAGUAGGACAGGACCGUCCGGCAGUUGAAAUGGCUCAUCAUCCUCUCCGGCAUCUCCGACGACGACGACGACGGCUCCUGGUUCGACGACUCGGACGAUCCUCCACCAGCCGCCGACGCCUACAGCUGCACCAGCGACUGGAAGGGCAAAGGACCGGCGAGGAAGUGGUGAAGCUCCACCGUCUCUGUCUUUAAUUUCAAGUUUUUAGUAAUCUAGUUUAAACUUGUCCGUCGUUUAUGUGAAUUAUUGAACUUUGGCGAUUUUUUGGAGAUCCGUUGGUGAUCUUUUAGUGAUCAGAAUGUGCAUUUCUAUGUCCGUUUGAUGAUCUACAUUGUUUAGUUCUACGUUGCAUACUUUAGUACGGAUAUAUGGUACCGGAUAUGAGAUAUACGGAUGUGGACAACAGGAUUUGAGAAGUGUCCAGUCAGUGCCCGCGGACGUUUGAGGACCUGGAUUUGUAGGUUGCGACUGUAGAUGCGCUAAGAGGAUCUCUUUAUCACCAUGCAUUGGUUUGAUUGUGUUGCUUUAUAUAUAAAAUAAAGCGGGAAGGGAGCCUUUUUGCGUAAAUGAAUAUGUCAGUGAUGACAAACUGCAUCAUAUGUUGGUGCAUGGAGCUGGUGACGAAGGAGACCUAGAAACAGCACAACUCAAAAGUUACAGGUUUACCUUUCGAAUAUGCAACUACGUGUCCAGUCAGGAAUGGGAUAUCCGUGGUAAGGCCAACUCCAGCGCACGACUCCAAACGGACGUCCGUUUUGCCCGGAUCCUGUCUGUUUGGGUAGGGCAAUGGGAUCGUGUCUGGGCCUGUCCUGAGAUGCGGUGACCGUGCGCCCAACACACGAACGCAUUGUUUAGCCCCAUCAUGUCCGCCUCCAUUUUCAAACGCCAACUUCCGAAUAACCAUGCCCUAGUUCAGGCCAGCUGCCCUAGUUCACGUCGGCAACAGAGUCAGCGACCUACACGUCCUCGCCGGCAACACAGCCAGCGGCCGGCAACAGUGCCAGCCUACAAAAUGAAUAGUUUUGUCGCCGCGACACAGCCAGCGGCUGGCAACACAGCCAGCCCCCAAAAUGAAUAUGUUUCUCGCUGGCACACAGCCAGCGGCCGACACCCAUGCCAGCCUCCAAAAAAGAACGGCCACGGCCGAUUAGACGACCUAGUUCAGGCCGUCGGCGCCGAACAUCUCCUUCUGCCUGGCCUCGAACCAGCUCCUCAUCUUCUCGCUCAUCUUGGUCAAGUCUACGCUCAUGAUCGCAAGGGCCACCUCCUUUUCUUUGGUUGCGGCAUUGGUAGCCUCGAUGUCGAGCUGCCUCUGCCUGGCCGUGACAUUGGCGGCCUCGAUGUCGAGCUGCCUCUGCCGGGACACCUCCUCCAUGUCGAUCUUCCUCUUCUUGGCUGCCUCCUCCAUCUCAAGCUUCUUCCUUUGAAGCUCUAGGUAUUGCUUCAUUUGCUCAUCCUUGCUUUGUCGCUUUUUCUCGUCCCUCAUAUCCUUUUAAGACAUCAUGUCGUGCAAAGUCUCAUGCAAGGCCAUGGAUGACGCAUCACAUAUGUCGUCCACCUUGGAGUUGGUCUUGCCCCUCGGCCUCUUCAACGCCUCACCAUAUCCACCUCCGUCCAACGCGGCCAUCUUUUUGCCUCUCUUCCUUUGAUUUCACGGUAUUGAUCCUUGAACUUCGGGCAAUUGUUGAUGAUCGUCCAACAAUGCGUAAGAGUGAAUGGCUUGUCAUUGUACCGGGCCUUGAAUGCUUCCAAAGAUUGAAAUGCCUACACCACACGAUCAACAACAAUUGAACAUGCAACCAUAUAGAAGGCCGAAGUCUCAUGGCCGUAGCAACGAAAGAACUAGGAUGAGGAGAGCAUACCAUGUGCCCAAUGCCGAGACCACUCGCGGGCCGUGCUUAAACGCUCUCAAGUGUGGCACAAUACUUGUUGCAUUCUUGUUGGAUGAACAACCACCUCUUUUGAAUCGAGGUAAUGCCACGGUCGCUCGUAAUUUGGUAGGGCUCAAACAUCUUUCUUUCAUGGAAUAUUUUGUGGACUCUCAUCCAAAAAACAAGGCCCUUUUUUGCGCACCGGUCCUCGGAUCUUGACUAAUCUCCAUCCAACAUUGGCAAAUCAACUUGUCCUCGUCUUGUGAACAUGAACCCGUGCGAAUGCUCUUCUUCCUCUUUUGUGCUUCCGCUCUUUGGGUGAGCUCGUCGAUGAACAAUGGCUCGCCCCCAAUAUCAAUAUCAAUGCAUUCUUCUUCAUCACCAUCACCUUCACAAUAGAUGUCAUCAUCUUCAUGCCACGAGUCACCAUGGUCGUAGUCAGCAUGGUCGUGGGCCUCUUCAUCAGCAACGUACUGGGCGCCGCCAUCCUGACUUUGGGUCUCCUCGGGAUCGUAGGCAUCGCCAUGUCCACCCUCAUAGAUCACAUUCUCCAUGAACUGGUUGUAGAAGGGGUUGUUGACCGUUGACGUUGGUGUUGGCAUUUCGUCGAACAGGACGCGGGGCAACGACAUGGUGCCCGUAAACGGUGGUCGUGCCUGCUUUCUUUCCAUCUCGACGGACGGCCGGCCGCCGCUGCUGGACCCCGGCGUGACGUUGAGGUCGACGACCGAGGGGCGCGGGGUGGACGGCGCGAUCACGCCAACGUUGGGCGACCCCAAAAAACGGGUCUGGCCAUCGUGCCUUGACGGGGAAAAGCCGGGAGACAAAGGCGUGGUCCGCGACGUCGGCGAGGGGCAGUGGUGAGGCCUGGCGACCGACGAGCCUGUGCUCGCCGGGCCGACGGCCGCACCAGAGAAACCCGCCGGACGACACAGCCCAAGCAUGAGGAGGGUGUGCACUUUGUUGAUGAUGGCCUCCUUCUCGUCGACCUUGACCUUGCGCCGCGCGGACUCCACCUCAUCGCGCUCGGCGGCGAACUUGGCCGCGGUGUUCUUGCCCUUGAUGGCAGCCCUCCGGUUCCUCCUCUUCGCCGAUUUCGCGUCCAUCUUUGCGAGCUCCUCCGGCGUGCAUUCCGACUGCGGCUUCCUUGGACCCUUGGCCGCCUUCUUUUUCACCUUUCCGGGCGGGUUGACGGCCAGGCCGCCGGAAUUUGGCGGGGCGUCGGCCAUGGAUGGGGGAGGGUGGUGGGCGGGACGUGGAAGGGUUUGGGAGGGGGGGGGAUGGCGUGAAAUGGGCACGGGGUUUUUGCUUUGUGCCACCGACGGACAGGCCAGGGGAGGACAAGCGCGCGCGUCCCGCCCGUCCGCUCGCUGUCCUUUUCACCCCAAAAGCGGCCCAAACUUGGGUCGGGAUGGGUCGAAAGCUGACAGAAAACGGACAAAAAUCCGUUUACGCCCGCGCGCUGGGCUGUCUGGUUUGUCCGUUUUGGCCCAAACGGACGCACCCGGACAGGAUGGGGUCGCGCGCUGGAGUUGGCCUAACGACAUCGGAACAAGUCCUUGCGUGUGCCCAUAACAUUUUCCCUUCAUUUUUAGCUCUCAUCUAAUCCCAGCCCUCCAUAUCCAAUUGGGCGACAGGCAAUCAACCGAAUGAUGUGUGUGGCAGAGGAUCCUAACCCCAAACAAACAGCAGGUAGUGAGAUGUGGUGGGUGAUGAUGGUGAUGGAAUGCCAUGGGCGACCGUUGGUUAGCACAUUCACAUCACCUGAUCAUAACCAACAUUCUAUAGAUUUGCAUGAGGGGAAAGUUAAUUAAACAACAACUUGCUUUGUUCUCUGGCAAGCUCUGGCUAAAUAACCCCAUAAUAAUCUAUAGAUGUGUUGAGCUCUGGGGAUCCUAAGUUAAGCGAGCUCCAGACUGACAACUUAAUUAAACACUCUGAGUCUUGCUCAGCACAUAUGCAUGGCCAUGUGCAGACAAGUGACCAUGUCCUUUUCUUGUACUGGUAGGCCUGGGAAUUCAAUGUGGCAUCACAUGCCCGGUGAAGCAAACAAAUUAGCUAAGCCAGAAGAGGGUAAAUCAUGGCAGGGAAUUGAUUAUUACUAGGAGUACAAUGGAUUUCAUCAGAAUGGGAAUAUUCCAGGACCGGCAAACGAUGACGACAUGUGUGGAUUCAAAAAUUGCAAGCUUGUUUCUUUGUUGGCAUUUCAGAAAAUGUAUAUGGUCCCAAAACCAAAGGUCCUUCUGUUCAGUUUGUAAUGCCCACAUGGUGUCCGUUUGACAGAUCGUGGGGUUUGACAGAUAUGCAUAUUUUAGAUCAUUGAGCUAGCUACAUCCAGGAGUUACACUACCACAUCCGCUCCAAAAUAUACUAUGCUUUAAUGCACCUGGAUGAACAGUAAAAAUACAAAAAGGGUAGUUUUUUUAAAUUCAUUUAUUUUUGUCAGAAAAACAUUGAGGAGUGCUUAACAUGUGUGUGAAGUUUUGUGAUGAAAUAACAUUCGCGGAGCACUGAUUUUUGAAAGUAUUUUGGAGCACUGAUUAUUUUUGCCACACAUCCAUGAAUGUUAUUUCACCAAAUAAAUUUGCACUCGCGCCAAAAGCUAAGCAAUGUUUAUUCUCCAAAAAACCUCAAAACCUUUUGAAUUUCUUAUAUUUUUUUGGAUUUUACUGUUCAUACCAUGUGCCUGUGAGCCCAGGACUAGAAGCACAUAUUCAUGCAAUAAAACUUCUUUAUCUUUGACAAAUUGUAAUCAACAAAAAUGAUUUAUUAGGUUGAAAUAAUACCCAGGACAAUGGGUAGUCCUACUACGCAGAGAUAGGAUUUCCUGCUCCCGAACUUCACGGAGUCCUUAGAAAACAAAUUAAAAAAAAGGAGAUUUUAUGUUUGAAAUUCUGGCAAAAAUACACAUGUAUACAGAUACGUAUACUACGUUUCUGUAAAUUUUCAUGAUGAAAUAUUUGAUGGUGUGAGCUUGACCAAAAUAAUAAUAAUAAUGGACUUUUGUAAUUUAUAGUACAUGUGCUAGAAUACAUGAUUUUAUCCUUCUUGAUAGCUAACAUAAAUCAUAUUUCAUCGUCAAAAUUUACAGAAAUGUGGUAUAUAUCUCUAUUUACUCCCUUCAUUUCUUUUUAGUUUGCAUAUAAAAUUUAUAAGAAGUCAAACUACAUAAAGUUUGACCAACUAUGUAGAAAAAAAUAUCAACAUUCAAAAUACAAAAUCAAUAUCAUUAGAUGCAUCAUGGUGUUAAUUUUCAUACUAUAUAACUUUGGUAUUGUAGAUAUUGAUAUAUUGUAAUAUAAAUUGGUCAAACUUUGUGAAGUUUGACUUUAAAUCAUCUUAUACACGGAGUAAAAGUAAACAGAGGGAGUAUGUGUGUAACAAACUCUAGUCUUUUUUUAACCUCAGAAUAUGAAUUAUGAUUUUUUUUAAAAAAUCCAGGCUCCAUGAGCCUAGAAUCUAAGGCAUUUUAGUACUAAGUAUUUCUACACAAUAUAUAUACAUAGUAUAAAAGCCAUACGUGCCUAAAAGGUAUAUUCUUGAUUGGUUAGAGGGUCGAGCUGUAACCCAUAUCAUAGUAAAUACAAGGGCAUUCCCAGUGCUCUAAAGUGUACUAUAUCUAAAAUACAUUGUCAAAAUAAAAAUCUCAUGUGACAACAUAUGUAAUGAGGAAAGAGAAUACUACUAUAUCUUAAGCUAGAUAUAGCUAUAAGCAUAGAAAGGAAGGAAGCUUUUUCUUUUACAAGUCGUAUUAAAAGAAAGGGAUAAUUAGAUUUGUGCCCCUAGUUGUGUCCCACUCGGCUGUUUUAUCCCUAAUUUCCAAAAGUCACCGGUUCUGCCCAAGUCACUUCGCUCCUCUUAUGCAUUUGUCCUUUGACCGUCACUUUCAAAACUUCAUAACUAAUUCAUACUAGAUCAGAAAAAUGCAAAUAAGAUACCAAAAUGUUCAGAAAAACAUCACCAUAUGUGAGUGUCAUUUGCAUUCAUGACAAAAGUGUUGGAAAGUGCCCACCGAGUUUUAGCUCCUAUGAUACCACCAUGAAUAGUAAAAUCUAGAAAAAAAAUUGGUGGCAAAGAAUGACAAAUGUUUUAAGUGCUUGCCAAGUUUCAUCAGGGAAUGACAUUCGUGGAUGUAGUGGCAAAAAAAUCAACACUCCAAAAUAGAUUAUUUUUUUGCCACGACUUCCACGAAUGGCGUUCCCUGAUGAAACUUGGCAAGCACUUAAAACAUUUGCCAUUCUUUUCCAUCAAUUUUUUUAAAGAUUUUACUAUUCAUGGUGGUAACAUAAGAGCUAAAACUGGGAUGGGCACUUUCCAGCACUUUUGUCAUGAAUGCAAAUGACACUGACAUAUAGGUGAUGUUUUUCCGAAUAUUUUGGUAUCUUAUUUGCAUUUUUCUGAUUUAGUAUGAAUUAGUUAUGAAGUUUGUAAAGUGACGGUCAAACGGUCAAAGUGCAAAUGCAUAAGAGGAGCGAAGUGAUUUGGGAAGAACCGGUGAUUUUUGGAAAUUAGGGGUAAAACAGCCGAGUGGGACACAACUAGGGGACAUAAAUCUAAUUAUCCCUAAAAGAAUGUACUUUUAGAUACAACUCAGAUAUACUACUCCUUGUAAAACCAUUUUACGAGAUGUCCAUAAAAUUUAGUGGAAGUUGACAUGUGAGAUGUUUUCUCAGAUCUCGUAAAUAUCUUCCCUAAAUCAGUUUUUUAUAUAUUUCCCAUUAAAGAAGCAUACAAAUGGCACAUGCAUGUAUAUACUAUCAUCAUAAUAAUUCGAACGAGGUUAUUUCUGAUACAUAUACUUGAUACUCAUAUCAAAUCCACAAAUUUAUGAAAUUCCAUUUGAAAUUCACAUUCAAAAGGAAACAUAACAAAUCCGGUAAAUGAUUCGAAGUAGACAUAACAAAUGGUUCAAACACGAAGAUCAAACAUGCAACAUAUGGUUCACCUAAACAAGAACAUCAACACAUAAAGCAUAAAUAGAAAAUCAAUCAUAGAACAUCACUUCUGACUUCUAUCACCAUUGCCACUCCAGUGCAUCCGCAAUUCCUAUCAUCUUUGGUGCUUAAAUUACUACCUUCAUGAUCUCAAGAUAUUGUAGAUGGGCUACCUCAACUCAUGCAGGGUUAGUGAACAUGCUUUUCUAUUCUUGCUCCAUUUUUUUGUCUGCAUUUCGCGUGCAAAGACAUUUGGCUUCUCUUCUUCGAUUGAAGUCUUGCGUUCCUCACAUGCACUUUUUUUAUUCCCUCUUACUUUUUCUUGCUACGAUCUCUUCCACCUCAAUCUUGAACACAACUACGUCUCCUCCAUUUUUUUUUCUUCCUCACCUUUCCUUUUGGGUGGCCCUUUUGUAGGGAGCUUGGGGUAGUGGUGGGUUUAGGAUUUAGGACUUCGUCAACAUGAUCAUCGGUAUCUUCAUUGUUGUGCACUUGUGUAGCCGAUGAUGAUUUUGCCUUCCUCCUCCGGUGAAGAUGCUCAUUUUCCCUAAUUUUUCACUUCUCAUUGAUCUGGAGCAAUGCCCAAUAAUGGUACAUGAAAAAUACUUACUUUUUGGAUCCCUAUGCUCGUACAUGUUGUUUGUGUAGCCGAGUUUUCAAGUUUAAAAUUUCACAUUAGAAACCAGGGAUAAACAAUUUAUAGAAAAGUUUGAACAACAAAUACUCACUAGCAUGUCCUUUGUCAUUACACUAGGUUUGACAUGUUCUACAUCAGUAACAGAACCUGCCCAACAAGUGCAAGAUUCCUAAAUCAAGGCUCAUCGACCAUCGAGUGGCUUAAUGGAGCGCUCAAUUGAAAGAGACACAUUGCGAUGACAGUGAUCUGCAAUGUGCUUCCAGUAGGUCUUUAUGCUUUGAUCAGCCCUUGUUCUCAGAUCAAUGCUUACACAAUGGCAUGCCAUGACAACGCUUUAUCCUCCUCCAUGGAGCAGUUGCUCCCCAUGUUAUUUGUUUUCGAAGCAAAAUCAUCCUCAUCCUCAAAAACAGUGGACAAAGACAUAUCAUGUAUGCUUACCGCCUCAUUGAUCAUCUUCAUAUAUGAAUGUUGACUACAUUAUCGUAAUUACGGAAGUAAUGAGCAAUACAAAUUUCCAUGUAAAAUUAUGAUUAUGAGUUGUACAAAUUAAACAAAUGAAGACCAAUUUUUUUACCUUUCAUUCGUUUCAUCGUAUGGCUCAUUGACAUUGUACAUGUUGAAGUUGUCAUCGGCCUCGAGGAAGGCCGACAACAUCCUCGUGAAGGCCAGGUGAAGGUUGGCGGUGAAGGUGCCAUCAUGGAGGAAGGACCAGCCAUGGUCUCACCCUUCCCUUUCUUCGACACUCGUGGCUUCAAAUGUCAGUGCGGCGGGGCGGCGGGGAUCGAUGGCAGGGUAGGCCCGCUUGCCUGCGAGAUCGGGCAGGCCGGGCCGACGGUGGCCAACAACGAAAGAGGUCGGGGUGGUCAGCGACACAUGGCCUGCCGCGGGAGGCAGGGUGGGCGGCGGCGCCGUGGGAUCGAUGGUGGACUAGGCAGUGGGGUCGACGACGACAACAUGUAGAGAGACACAUGAAGUUUUACGCGGGAGAUGAGAGGUACUUGGUGUGAAGCAUUACAAGAAGGGCCAUCUUCCCCCUGGCGGAGGGGAAGUUUUAAAGAUUUUAAGACAUGAUGUAAGAUAUUUGCGACUUUAUGAAACUGUUGGAUCACUUUUCAACCAACUUCUUCUAAACCACAGUUAUUUUACAGAUAUGGGCACCAUGUGUGUGUGGGGGGUGGGGGUUGCGGGAGUCCAGACAACAGCCGCACAGGACUUCGACACCUCCGGGUCACCCAAUCCCCCCUCUCGGUCCCAUUUCUUCCACUCCGCCCCUUCUUCCCCCUUUCUUUGCAUCUACACCCUCCACCUCCACCGGUGUCGCUAUACCUCUCCGGCUGCUAUAGAGGCAUUGUUGGAUGUUCGCACCCAACACCGACGCGCUAGCUCGCCCUGUCCACCAUGUAGUCGUUUGUACCCAGGUACACUCCGCCCCCUUGUUGACGACCACCAUGGCAGACACCACUCCCGGCAGGUGUUCAGUCAAAUGCCAUUGAGCUUAUUUUCGAACGCUAUGUCGUUUUUUAGAGUACGAAGGAUGUCGAGCUACUUGACCAUGGAGGAUGAGUAGUUGUGCGAUGCGUGGUUGCCCGUAUUCGUGNNNNNNNNNNNNNNNNNNNNNNNNNNNNNNNNNNNNNNNNNNNNNNNNNNNNNNNNNNNNNNNNNNNNNNNNNNNNNNNNNNNNNNNNNNNNNNNNNNNNNNNNNNNNNNNNNNNNNNNNNNNNNNNNNNNNNNNNNNNNNNNNNNNNNNNNNNNNNNNNNNNNNNNNNNNNNNNNNNNNNNNNNNNNNNNNNNNNNNNNNNNNNNNNNNNNNNNNNNNNNNNNNNNNNNNNNNNNNNNNNNNNNNNNNNNNNNNNNNNNNNNNNNNNNNGCAAGUGAAUGAAUUGUUUCACACACGAAUGAACAGUGCGCCUUCUGACAUGUACAUCAUUCAAGGGCGCAACGUGAGGUUGUUAUCGUAUUGCUGGUAUGCUAUCCAAACCAGCAUCACCAAGUUUUGUAAUGUGGUUCGUUAGCUGAAGGCAAGGUGGCCAUUACACGUGGCAAAGGACGAGAUCGCAAGUUUUGCUUCCUCUUGCUCAACUUUGUUGAUUGAUUCAUUCACUCAAUGUUGGUCUGCACAUUAUGGAGCCCGCCCGCGCUGUCGUGAUGUAUCACAGGACAGAUGGGCGGUCAUUUACGUACACACACUACUGUAUCAAGCCGAAGGGGGAGUAUGUGGGGGACGACAUGGUCCGUUGAUAAAAAACUUGUUGGACAUCUGGUUAAUCUUGUCGAAUUUUAGACAUUGUUGUAUUGGACUUAAUUUACAUGCUAUGUGUGAAUGAUUUGUGCUAUUUUCGAUCCAAAUUUGAUGAAAUCCGCCGUGUUUGCAUGCAUUUUGUACGGUUAGUAGAAACCCGAGUUGAAAUGUAUGCGGACAGCGUUGGAUGGUGGCCUCCCGCAUCUGUGUCCGCGGACUAGCCCUCCUAUCCACGAACAGAUGCGGGAGAAAAUUUGCCUUCGCUGUUGGAGAUGCCCUUACCAAAGAAAGCCCUCUGUAGCAAGGCCAGGUUUGUGGAUCUAAUUCAGAACAACUCCAACUGCCCGACCCUUUUCGUCCGCCCAUGUUCCUUUGGGUCAAAGCGGACAAAACCCCCGGCCCAACGCACUGACCCAAACCGAAAACGCGUCCCUAAACGUCCGCCCGACGCAUUUCAGGCUCAAAUUUGGGCCGGGUUUGUGUCGGCGCAAACAUGAAACAGACACGCCGCGGUCCCACAUGUCGGUCGGCCAACCACCACACACGGUCAUAUUUAUUGUGGCCACCUACCGCAGACCUACACGUCAGUGAGCGAAAGCUAUGGAAGACCGUCCUUUUUUAAUCCACGCGUGGGGGGGGGGUUGGGGGUGCUCAUCCACUUCGACUGUCGUCCACAUCUAGCCCCGUGAGCUCCCUCGCCGGUGGCAAGCAAACCCUAGCCAUGGGAUUCUUCAGUGGCAAUGGCAAGAGCAAGCUCAACCCCGGCGCCAGCCCCUCCAGCGCUCCUCUUCUGCUGCCGCCGGCGCCUUCAUGCCCCGUGAGGGAGCGACUCCACAUCCCGGUUGUAACACCCCGGAUGUAACUUUCCAUAUUUGUAACUCCGACUCUUGCCAUUUUCGGCUAUGUGUUAUGAUAUUUCCCUUCGUGGUCGGGUUUUGUCUUUCGUUUUGCAUUUUGUUCAUGUCAUGCAUCUCAUACCAUGUCAUCAUGUGCAUUGCAUCUGCAUACGUGUUCGUCUCUUGCAUCCGAGCAUUUUCCCCGUUGUCCGUUUAGCAAUCUGGCACUCCCACCUCCUCCGGUGCACCGCUCUUGUUUUCGUUUCGUGAGCGGGUGUUGAACGUUUUCGGAAUGGACCGAGGCUUGUCAAGUGGCCUUGGUAUACCACCGAUAGGCCACCGGUCAAGUUUUGUUCCAUUUGGAGGUCGUUUGGUACUCCAACGAUUAACCGGGCAACCGCAAAGUCCGUUUGUGUGUUGCAGAAAAACCCCUCUCUAAACAGCCCAAAACUCCUCUAAGUCUCUUCCAUGCUCUAGGUCGUUCGAUCACGAUCGUGUGGGCGAAAACCGCACCUCAUUUGGACUCUCCUAGCUCCCUCUACCUAUAUAUACACCUCCCCUCCCGAAACAUUCGCAGUCCAAAUCCUAAAAAAAAUCCCCGCCGCCACCGGACGUGUCCACCGCCGCCGGACACAUCCCCNNNNNNNNNNNNNNNNNNNNNNNNNNNNNNNNNNNNNNNNNNNNNNNNNNNNNNNNNNNNNNNNNNNNNNNNNNNNNNNNNNNNNNNNNNNNNNNNNNNNNNNNNNNNNNNNNNNNNNNNNNNNNNNNNNNNNNNNNNNNNNNNNNNNNNNNNNNNNNNNNNNNNNNNNNNNNNNNNNNNNNNNNNNNNNNNNNNNNNNNNNNNNNNNNNNNNNNNNNNNNNNNNNNNNNNNNNNNNNNNNNNNNNNNNNNNNNNNNNNNNNNNNNNNNNNNNNNNNNNNNNNNNNNNNNNNNNNNNNNNNNNNNNNNNNNNNNNNNNNNNNNNNNNNNNNNNNNNNNNNNNNNNNNNNNNNNNNNNNNNNNNNNNNNNNNNNNNNNNNNNNNNNNNNNNNNNNNNNNNNNNNNNNNNNNNNNNNNNNNNNNNNNNNNNNNNNNNNNNNNNNNNNNNNNNNNNNNNNNNNNNNNNNNNNNNNNNNNNNNNNNNNNNNNNNNNNNNNNNNNNNNNNNNNNNNCCUCCUCCUACGACCGCGCCCGUCGCCGCCUCCCCUCCGAGUUCCUCUCCUCCUCUCCAACGCCGUCGUCGCCGUCUCCCCCCCAAGCUCCGGCGAGCAGCCCAGCGAGCUCGGUCCUAGCCCCGAUCUCGAUCUGGUUUGACCUAGGUUGACCCCGAGAUCCCCCCCGAAAUAUUUGCAAGUCUUGUUAUUUUUUGCAGUAUGUACCUCUGUUCAUCGCAUCGUAAGUCUCUGCAUAUAGCUCCGUUUCAUGCGUGUAAUAUAUCAAAUUGUUCGCCUCAUGAUGCUCUUCAUUUUGUUCCAUUGCACCAUGUUCAUUUGAGGCCAUCUUGAUGCUCAAAUCUCUCGUGCAAGAGUGCUAGUUGCUGUUAUCUGCUGUUACUUAUCAGAACUUGAGGAUUUGUUAUUUUUGUAUCAUUUAAUCUAUGCAUCUUAUGGGCAUGAGCUCUACAUGUGUUUUGUUGUAUGCCAUGCCAUCUUUACAGAGGUGUAUGCUAUGUAUUUUUGUGAUCUCUGUGGUGACUAGCACAAGCAUGCAAACUAGGCCCCGUAAUGUUUCUGAUUUCAGGGACUAAAUUUUCUAAGUCUUUGUCUGCUGUUAUUUUGUUGCUAUGUAUCCAUGUGGCUACUGAGAGAUCCAUGCUUAUUUUGGUGAUGUUCAGUAAGGAUGUUGUGUAGAUAUUGUUGUAAUUGAUCCAUUCCUGCCCUUGUUUGCAAUUAUGGAGUGCCAUAGCAUGACUCAAUCUUGCUCUACUUUCGCUAUAAAAUAAUUCUAUUCAAUCUUGCCAAGCUUGUUGUAGUUGUUCCAUACAUGCCAUGUACUUGCUCUUGCCAUGGAUAGCUUCAUAAACAUGCCAUAUUGCUGUAGGUAUGCUUGUUUUGUCAUGCAUUGCUUUGUGGUGAGUGCAUCAAGCUCACCAAGAUGCCUUCAUAUUAUUGUUUCUGCCAUGCUCUGUUUUCUGCUAAGUCUGAAACCUGUUAACGUAACUUGCUAUGUUUACAUGGUUGACAUCAUAUCUUCUGGUCCUUUUUGGCUUAUGGUCAGUAAGGGACUUUUGUCAUAUGCAUUUAGCAGAAUACUUCCAUGCCUUGUUUUGCCAUGUUAAGUUCCUGUAGCAUGUUCAUUUCGUGCUCUAAACAUUGCUACCUGAUGCUGUUUCUGCCAUGUCCAGUAAUUUCACCAAGUCUGUGAACCUGUUAUCUUUUGCUCUUUUGCCAUGCUUGUUUGAACCUGUUAUGUUGUGAACUAGCCGUAGCUCAUUGUUCAUCUUUUGUCAAGCAUCUCCUGUAGAUUACUGCCAUAUGCUUAUUUGCCAUGUUGAAGUGGUGUAACAUUGUUACUUGUUGCAUUUUAAGUGCUACCAUGCUGUUAAUCGUAGAUUCAUGUCAUUCUUGUUUUGCUUGCCAUUUGCAAACCGUGCCUCCGUUUCCGGUGAUCUUUAUAUCGAUUUCAACCGAAAUCAUCUCAUCUUUCUAGUGGCAUGCUUGGUUUGCCAAGUUACUGCCUUGUUCAUCAUUUUCCUUCCGGAGCACGCAUAUGCAUCGCAUAUCAUAUCUUGCAUAUCAUUCAUGUAUUGCAUCAUGUUGCUUGUGCAUUUCCCGUGAUUGAUUGUGGUUCCAUUGCUUGUGUUCUUGUCUUGGGUAGAGCCGGGAGACGAGUUCGUGAACGAGGAACCUGUUGAGUACGCUUACGAGGAUCAAGCUUUCGACAACUCUGAGAACCUUGCAGGCAAGAUGACCACCCCUCGAAAUCACUUCUAUCUUUGCUUUGCUAGUUGUUCGUUCUAUUGCCAUACUGCGCUACCUACCACUUGCUAUAUCAUGCCUCCCAUAUUGCAUGACAGCCUCUAACCAUCCUUUCCUAGCAAACCGUUGUUUGGCUAAGUUAUCGUUUUUGCUCAGCCCUUCUUAUAGCGUUGCUAGUUGCAGGUGAAGUUGAAGCUUGUUCCAUGUUGGAACAUGGAUAUGUUGGGAUAUCAAAAUAUCUCUUAUUUAAUUAAUGCAUUUAUAUAUUUGGUAAAGGGUGGAAGGCUCGGCCUUAUGCCUGGUGUUUUGUUCCACUCUUGCCGCCCUAGUUUCCGUCAUACCGGUAUUAUGUUCCUUGAGUUUGCGUUCCUUACGCGGUUGGGUGAUUUAUGGGACCCCCUUGACAGUUCGCCUUGAAUAAAACUCCUCCAGCAAGGCCCAACUUUGGUUUUACCAUUUGCCACCUAAGCCUUUUCCCCCGGGUUUUCGCGAGCCCGAGGGUCAUCUUUAUUUUAAACCCCCGGACCAGUGCUCCUUCGGGUGCUGGCCCAAACCGAGCGAUGUCCGGCGCCCCCUGGGCAACCAGGGUCUAUGCCAACCCGACGUCUGGCUCAUCCAUUGUGCCCUGAGAACGAGAUAUGUGCAGCUCCUAUCGGGAUUUGUCGGCACAUCGGGCAGCUUUGCUGGUCUUGUUUUACCAUUGUCGAAAUGUCUUGUAAACCGGGAUUCCGAGACUGAUCGGGUCUUUCCGGGAGGUUUAUCCUUCGUUGACCGUGAGAGCUUAUGAUGGGCUAAGUUGGGACACCCCUGCAGGGUAUUAUCUUUCGAAAGCCGUGCCCGCGGUUAUGAGGCAGAUGGUUAUUUGUUAAUGUCCGGUUGUAGAGAACUUGUCACUUGACCCAGUUAAAAUACAUCAACUGUGUGUGUAGCCGUGAUGGUCUCUUCUUGGCGGAGUCCGGGGAGUGAACACGGUUUGAGUUAUGCAUGAACGUAAGUAGGAGUUCAGGAUCACUUCUUGGUCAUUACUAGAUGACGACCGUUCCGUUGCUUCUCUUCUCGCUCUCUUUUGCGUAUGUUAGCCACCAUAUAUGCUUAGUGCCUGCUGCAGCUCCACCUCAUUUCACCAUCCUUUCCUAUAAGCUUAAAUAGUCUUGAUCUCGCGGGUGUGAGAUUGCUGAGUCCUCGUGACUCACAGAUUCUACCAAAACAGUUGCAGGUGCCGACGAUGCCAUUGCAGAUGAUGGGAUCGACCUCAAGUGGGAGUUCGACGAGGAACGUGGUCGUUACUAUGUGUCUUUUCCUGAUGAUCAGUAGUGGAGCCCAGUUGGGACGAUCGGGGAUCUAGCAUUUGGGGUUAUCUUAUUUUCAUUUGGAUCUUGACCGUAGUCGGUCUAUGUGUGUAUUUUGGAUGAUGUAUGAUUUAUAUUUAUGUAUUGUGUGAAGUGGCGAUUGUAAGCCCACUCUCGUUAUCCCAUUCUUGUUCAUUACAUGGGAUUGUGUGAAGAUGACCCUUCUUGCGACAAAACCACAAUGCGGUUAUGCCUCUAAGUCGUGCCUCGACACGUGGGAGAUAUAGCCGCAUCGUGGGUGUUACACCGGUGCACCAGGCGCGGUGGCACUGGCAGUUCCAGCAGCCGCUGCCGUGCCCAGAUGUCACGUUGCCACACUAAUGGCACCUCGAUCUACAACGCAGCCCGGUGCUGGCAGUGCUGCGGUUGCGGCGGGCUCACGCCGAGGAGGUACGGCGGCGCCGGGAGCUCCUGGCGCCGAAGCAGCGCCGGCUACCUACGUACGCACCGGACUCUCCCGAUUAGGAGGUCUGGUUUGCCCUCGAGCACGAGGAGCAACGCCGUCGUGGCCUCCAGCACCACCACAUCUACCCCCACCGCCCUCAGUCGUCAAGCCGGAGAGGAGGCUGCCUACCAGGCAGCAUUGGCGGCGGCCAUGCAGACCUCCAUCAAGGAGGAGCGGCGCAAGGCGGAUGAGGAGGUAGCCUACGAGGCGAGGCUGAGCCCAAGGUCGAGCCGCCGACGCCGGAGCCCGUGGAGCGCUACGUAUGGUUUGGCGGGCUGCGCGAGUGGGUCAGCCUCCCUCCCUCGCGUGGCUCGGCGCGACGCCGGCGCAGGAGCAAGUGUACCUCGAGCAGUGGAAGGCCCGCGUGCUGGCUGCGGAGCGGGAAGAGGGCGAGCGCGAAAUGCAGGUCGAGCGCCAGCUAGAGGAGGAGCGUCGUGCCCGCGGACAAGCAGUCUAGCCGGCGGUGCAGGGCGACGUGGCCCCGGCUUCGGUGGCGACAUUCCCCUGGGCUGGCCCGGUGCCGGAGUUGAUCGACCCCACCAGCCCCGGGUCGGACGAUGAGGAUGCAUAAGGCAGCGCGUGGCGGCACAAGUUUUUUUAAUUAUGUUUAAUUAAUGUUUAUGCGGACUUUGGCCCGCGGUUGAUCGGCUUUUAAUGUUUAAUUAUGUUUAGUUUGAAUGUGUUUGAUUCUAAAUCCGCAGUUAACACAAAUGUAUUGGUCAACAUUCUAUGCACGCGUCGACCGAAAUGAAAAAACGAACACGGGUGUCUAUACAGCCUAUCUAAAUAAUAAAAAGCGGACGAAAUCGUGCGUAUGUUUGGAUCGGCGGUUGGAGUUGCUCUUCGUUUCACAACGUAGUACCUAGUGAAACGUUUACGAGCAGUCCGCUACGCAGUGGAACGUUUACGAGCAGUCACGGACUGGUGGCCCCGCUAAUUUAACAGCGGUCCAUGGGUCCGCAUGUCACUAUGUCAGAGCCUGUCCCUCGUAAUUUUGGCCGUGCACGCAGUGCAUCAUAUCCCAGCUACGCGCGCCCCAGUAGAGCUGCCCAUUGCACUAGUAGGUGAGCCCAUCAGCUCUUGUGGCGAGCGAGACAGGGAAAAAAUGUGGAUUUAAGCAUGCAUGGAAAGUAGCGAAACGAUUCGGCAUGCAGUGAUUGGGGAGAUGAAAUCGAUGAUGAGAUGAUUGAAGGUGCGAUUGAUGAGAUGGGAAGGAGGCGCUCCGUACAACUACUGCUACAGCAGUGGCAGUAGCAGCAGGGGCCGGCAUUAGCAACAGCGGGGCAGAUUGCGAGAUCUUUGCGACUUGAUGGCGCCACUCUUUCCUCUCACGCCUAGUAGGAAAAAAAUGCUAUAUCGACGUCUUCUCCACACCCUUUAAUCCAUUCGAUCGUCUACAUUCACUCCAUCUAUUCACACACAAACACGCCACCGUGUACUUGUCGCCUCGAACGUGAUAGACAAGACACAUUGUCGAAGAAGCCUCAUCGAGAGUGUGAUACAAACACACAUCAAUGAGGUCUUUUGAAAACCUGAUACCCCACACAUCUGGGAGGGACUGUCACGGAGUGUGGCGGCUAUGCAUUGCCCUAGAUCGACUCAUCAAGAGCAUCGGGCCGGUCCGGCAACUUGGCUGUACAGCCGGGCCAUGCAUAAAUUUGCAUACAACAACAUAAUUAUCGUGCGGUAGAAUUCAGAUAUGACCUUGAAUGGAGAUGACCAUAGAAGAAAGUUAUCCAUUUGGACGAGACGAACAACUUUCAUGCUGAACGUUUUGCGACUCGAAGUCAUCUUGAAGGUGUUUUGUCACGUUUUGUAUCUUCUGCAAUAGAAAAAACAUGAAACUUUGCCCGGUCAAUGCCCGGACGCCCAAACCUUUGCCCGGCUUCAAUUCCAACCUCCUGAUGCCUCCGAGCAAUUACUCAGGCAAUUUCCUAUAUGUCCAACUCUCCGUCCGGCCCUGGGCUGGACUGUCCAACCAUUCUCAGAUCCCGCUGAUGCAGUGCACUGUUUUGGCCACCGCGGCUGCAUACACUUCAGAUUGAGAUAUUAUGAAAAAAGCAAAGUUGUUGGCCAUGACAAUAUCAAGAAUUUCAUGGUUAUCACUUUUCCAUUUGAAGUGAUCUUAAUUGUGUUUUCUGUCGUGCCAUAAUCUGGUGUCAAUACGUGCAUCUCUGAAUUUGUCAUAACUUUUGUGUCUGAGCUUCGUUUUGGACCACAUUUAUCUGCAUUUUGAUAAUCUUAGAGAGUGCCAUAAAAUGUAAAAUCAAAUCUUAAAAUUGACUUCACCUCCCUAUGGGUUCAAGCCAUUCUUUAUGAUCAUGCCACUUUUGAUCGCCAAACACUUCCCCUAAGAGUAACUUGGUUUCAUAAUAAUCCGCAUGUAGAUUAUGAUAUGCUUGAUGAAUAUUUGAUUUGCGUGGCACGAUCUUUUGCAUUUCCACCUAUCCAUAUUUGCUAGCAUCUCCUGUAUCGUGCAAUGUCCACUCCCACCUUGAGAUUUGGUGCAUCCUUCGCAGAUACAUCCAAACCCCGUGGAGAACUUCCUUUUGUUCUCCUACACAUAAACCACCUACCUUCCUUAAAAAGUCACCAUAUCUACCUAUCAUGGCAUCGGUAACCAUUUCGAGAUAUAUUGUCAUGCUACUUCGUUCAUCAUUCAUUACAUGAUUAGAGAUAUUUAUUUGCCUUGCAUGAUCGUUAGAAAGCUUGCAUGAUAUUUACAUGGCUUUUCCAUUUUUGUUUUCUUUGCUAUGCUAGAUCAUUGCUCAUACUGGUGCACUGCUAGAGGCAUUUAGUAGAAUUUUUUGCAUCAUGUUUACUACUUGUUGAAUUAUGAGUACCAUUAUUGUAUUAAUCUUCAUCAUAGAGUGUUGCCGCUACAAGUGAGGAUAAAAAAAAGAGCCAUGAAGGCAACUAAAUAAGGAAAAGAAAAAGAGCCAUGGAAAAGAGACAAAGAAAAAAAAACUAAAAAAGAGAAAGAAGAGAGAGAGAGAAGGGGUACGAUACUAUCCUUUGGUACACAUAUGUGCUUCAAAGUAGCAAAUUGCAUUUCCUAUAAGAGUUUUUGUAUGCUUCAUGAUCAUAUGCUAGUUGGGGAUUUUUUACAUUAUAGAACUUGGCUUGCAUAUUCCCAUGAUGAGCUUCCUCAAAAUUCUCUAGGUCUUCCUAAGCUAGCAAGUUGGAUGUACGCCCUAUGAGGGAUCUAGAAGAUAGGUCUAGAGGGGGGGGGGGUGAAUAGACACUAACAAGGCAAAAGGUGCAGUUUUUAAUUCUCUUGAAGUUUAGGCAGAUUUUAGCACAAGUUAAAUGGCAACCAAUACAAUCUGCACAUGCAUAUCUAGAGUAUAGGCCGCAGAUAAGGAACAACAUGCAAGUGCAAGAAAGUAAAGGGAGAUAGAGAUAGGAAGAUCAAACGCAAUGAAGAGACGACGAUUUUUGGCGUGGUUCCGAUAGUUGGUGCUAUCGUACAUCCACGUUGAUGGAUAUUUCAACCCACAGAGGGUAAUGACUGCGCGAGUCCACAGAGGGCUCCACCCAUGAAGGGUCUACGACGAAGAAACCUUGUCUAUGCCAUCAUGGUUUCCGAGCACGAAGGACUAGCCUCACUCGGGGUAGAUCUUCACGAAGUAGGCGAUCUCCUUGCCCUUACAAAUUCCUCUUGUUUUCGCGUCCGCGACGGACCACAGGGGCUCCCAAUGUGACACGUAACCGACCUAGGAGACACCACUCCCAAAAAGGUAAUAGAUGAUGUUGUUGAUGAUGAACUAAUUGCUCUUGUGCUUCAAAAGAUAGUCUCCCCAACACUCAAUCACUCUCUCAUGGAUUUGACAUGGUGGUGGGAGUAGGAUUGAAGUGGAAAUCAACUCAAGGGGGCUAGAAAUCAAGGAUCAAAUGGUUGGAGUGGAAUCCCUUAAUGUCAACACAAGUGUAGGUGGUUCUCUCUCCGAAAAUGGAUAUGGGAAGUGGUAGUUUAGUCCUGGUUGCUCUCUUUGAGAGUAGGUGGUGUGGGUGGGGUAUAUAUAGCCUUCACCAAAAAUCCUACCAUUACAGACCUUUAUGCACAACUUGGUGGGACCAGGUGAAACACUUGAUGAGACCGUCCAGUGCAAAAUAUUUGAACUUCAGACGUUUCGGUGAGACCGGAUGAAUCCACUAGGUGUGACCGAUUUAUGAUGAUCUUAGCACUUUCCAUGCUUUGGUGACACCCAUCGGUUUCACUCGGAAAUUCUGAAGUGAAAACAAUGGGUUACAGAUGGUUUGGCAAUGCACUUCGGAGUCACCGAAUGUCAUCUCAGUGAGACUGAAUUUCUCAGGUUUAGGAAGUGGCUUUGUCAAGUGUAUCUCGUCGGGUCCAGGUUGGAAUGAUUCGGUGGAUUUAGGGUUUUGGACAAAUAGGAUUUUGGGGGUGUGGUUGACGGUGUUUGGAGCAAUAUCUAUAAGCACUUGAUAAAAUUACUCAUGAUCAAAACCUCAUCCCCUUUUAAUAGUAUUGGCUUUCCUAUGGACUCAAUGUGAUCUUUGGUCACUUAUCCAGAAAUGCAGAGUCUUGAAGCUAUGCCAAUGCGUGUCCUUUGUAGCUUAAGGGAUCCACAUCUCCAUGCAUCUACUAGCCUAGGUUGAACCUUUCCUAAAAGGUACUUGAGGAAAACAUUAGUCCAACAACAUGAACUACCAAAACCACCAAGGGAGCAAAUGUGCUUUCACCCCACUAGUCAGUUAGAGAGUGUAUAGUAAAAAAGUCAAUUAGAGUGCUUUCAUACAUUCAUAACUAUAGUACAUCCAUUGCAUUGCAAUCCCUACUCCUCGCACUAGCAUCGAUUAUAAGGCCUCUCCAUUGCCUAAUGAUCUGUCGCGUCAGUGUCAGACCUUCUUCCAUGUAUUGUCUUCUUUUAGACCUCUAUCAUUAUUCUCCUUUUCCGUUUAAGUGUAAUGAUCAAAGCUUGCAUGAAAACACAAGUUGAGUAUUGAGUGGUUGAAAAGGGAGAGUCGUGUGAUUAAUUUAAUUGACCAACACUCUGGGUUGUGUUAUGAUAAAAAGUUUGAUAUGGUAAAACCUUAGAGCGUCAAGUCUCGUGAUACACUUGACAUUCUUUCUUAUAGUGUUGAUGAUCAUGAUGUGAAAGCCUUGACCCAUGAUAUAAAAGAAUAAUUUUGCUUAUAUAUUUUGAUGUUACUUGCUUUAUAUAACUAUAAACUAUUGCAUUGCAUCACUAUCCUUUGAAGUCAUACAUAAUUACAUGCUAGGCUAGUAAUAAUUCAUGCUAGUGACAUUUACAAUAAAAAAUUAUUUUGUCAUCAUCUACCUACUCGAGGAGUAGUAGGGAUUAAACUUAGGGAAGUUGAUACGUCACAAACACAUCUAUAAUUUUGAUUGUUUCAUGCCAUGUUUAUAUCAUUUCAGCCGCAUUUUUUGCACCAAUUUAUAUUAUUUUCUAGACUAACCUAUUAAUUCAGGGCCCUGUGCCAUUUGCUGUUUUCUGCAUGUUUUUCGUUUUUUAGGAAAUUCAAUUUUAUCGGGUAAAAAUGCAAAAAUAAACAGCGAAGGAAUUUGAUCUAGAAGGAUCCAUCAGCAACCGGCAUAGGCCAGGUGGUUACCCAAGGGCCCCCACACACCAGCCCACGCGUCAGGGGUGUGGCAUGGUGUGGCCACAUGCCCCCCUGAACCUCCAUUCCACCGCCUCUUAGUCCAUGUGCCUUUAUAACCUCUGAAACCCUCCCUGAUUUUUACGUCCUAAUAUUUUGCCAUCGCACACCUCUAUUUCACGAUGAUCCAAUAUGGAGGCCUUUUCCGUUACUCUGUCGGAGGGGAAAUUCUUCACAGUGGCCAACCCAAUCACAUUGAAGGCCAUUGUGAUUGCCAGUGAGUAGUUUCCAUUGGACUAUGGGUUUAUAGCAGUAGCUAGAUGAUGUCCUGCAAGUGCACAGGGCUAUGCAGCAAUUUCUUGAUAAGGAAGGUUUGUCGAUCCCGCAGUGAGCGAAUAGGAUGGCACCACAAUCUCCGCAGCUGUGUUGUCACGAACACAACCACGCUCACACCAAAACCCGAGUUUGGAAAUAGUUCACUUAAGUCGGUGUCCCUCGAGCAUGCAGGAAGCCACACGACGCUCAACAUAUCCAUACAUGAACAAUAGAGGUCGAGGAUGUCAUUGGGGAGAUCGCUCCAGUCGCGGCUCAUAUGGAUGUUGCGCGGUUCGCAUUCGGCCAUGGUGGAGUUUGGAAGGUGGGGUUUUUUGGGGCUUGAUUUAUGGGGGAGAAGGCUCUCGGUGCUGGAGCGGCUAGCGAGGGAAUAGUGGUGCUGGGGGAGGCGAGCGAGGCGAGGGUACGCGUGGGCAUAGUGAGAUGAUGAAGAGUGACCUCAGGAUCUCCGGCGAGAUGGAGAUGGAGUUCGAGUGGAGCUAGGGGAGAGGGAGACGAGGCGAGGCAUGCUAUACAACGGCGGUCACAGUGAUUGUGCAGUGCACAAGGUGAGGCUGACUUUAGUAACUCGAACACGCCGUCUGGACUAGUGUCACCUCGUGCGCAUGGUCUUGUCACUUCACUAUGAGGACCGGAAGAAUACUAUUUUGACCAACAAGUGUACUACAGUUGUACUACUGCUACUACUAGUAACAUACAUAGUAGUACUGUAUAGCGAAAAGAGGUCUCCCGUGCUAGUGUGCCUCUGAGUUCACUUCAUCCUCCAGGUAGCAUGCAUAUUGCGAGCAGAACCAAAUUCUCAUGCAUGCGGAAGCACGAAGAAGGGCCUUUUCUUUUUUGAGGAUAACCGCAUAUUCCUUAACCAAAAAAUGUUGUGUCACCCACGCACGUGCCAAUAUCCAUCCGAACUAGCUACGACAUAUUAUUUUUGUAUAUAUGUUUGUGUAGGUCCCACCUGUCAGGAGGGGUGCAGAAAUAAAAAAGGAAUUAUAGAAUGUGUUCGCCACGGUGAUUCGAAAGAGUGACCUCAACUAGCCAGUGGCACAUGUCAUGCUAGAAGGAUGGGCAUGUACACGGACAGGUACCACUCCUCAGUCUACCCGCAUAGCCUUUUCGUUUAGUCUACCUAGCCGUCUAAUCAAGUGCCUGCAUGCCACUUCUCCCAUUUACUUCUCCAUCAGGAACUGAUUUUCCUCGGCUUCUUCACCUCUCCUUCAUCUUCAUUUGCAUCCAAACCCCACUGCAUUCACAUUGUUUUAACCUCUUCACAUACUCCUGGAGUAAUUCCGAAGCCCCUUUAAAUAAUCAUCUUCUUCAGGUAGACUAGCCAUCUAAUCCUAAUUUUCCAAACCAUAGCCCUCCGGUCCAGCGGUUCCAAAUGGCGAAAGAGAUCCAGAUGCAUGUUUUAGCGUCAAACAUGUCCUCGUCGAAGGCUCGUUGAGCAUAGUUGCCACCAUCACCGACCGCCCAAGGGUUGUUCGGGACUGGAUCAACAAUGUAUCCAACUCCCUAAAAAAGGUGGAGAUGAAGGUCAUCGGUCUCGACGCAGAGUACAUGGAGCAUGCCACUGGGAAGAUCCAACGCACCGUCGUCCUUCAGCUGUGCCUCGAAGACGAUGUUUUGGUGUAUCACAUCAUACAUGCGCCCUCCAUAACAGGUGAGCUCCAUGAUUUCAUGUCUCAGGAGGACAUAUACUUCUGUGGGGCAGCCAUCGAAGGGGACAAACAGAAGCUGGCGCCGUACAACCUUGAUUUGAAAAACAUCGCUGACCUACAAACCAAAAUCAAAGUUCCUGUAGAAGAUUGUGAUAAAGAAACACCAUCCCUAUCGACAUAGCAAAUUUUGUGCUAGGAACAAAUCUUCAGAAGGGUGACGAGAUGCUAGCACUAUGGUUGUCUAGAUGGGAGAAUUAUCGCUUGACGUACGAGCAGAUAAAAUAUGCUGCCCUCAAUGCCCGUGUGAGUUUCGAGAUAACUACAAGGUCCAAAGAGCUUGUUGCGAAGCCGUCUCCCAUAGAAAGUGAGAAGAAGAAGAAGAAGCUGCACCAGCAGCAGGGCAUUAUAGAUGGAUGAACUAUUUCCUCUCUUGUAAAGAAAAAUUCCUCUCUGUGUAUAUUGAUAUAGAUGAACUAUUUCAAUUGUGUGCAUGUUUUUGGAACAAGUGUAGUAGCAUAGGUCCGCUUGACUAUAAGGAACUAUUUAUCUGCCUAGCUUUCUCUACUACUCCUUGCAGUGAUCGGUAUGCAAUGCAUGUGUCAGUAGACAUGACAGCUUGUCCAUGGAAGUUGAACUACGACGACCAUCAUGUUUCUACCACUGCCACUCGCGAUUCCCACGAUUCCGCUCCAACCCACGACACCACGCCCCCCCACAUGCGCCUCACCCCUCUCGGCCGCACCGCCCCUCUGCCUUUGUGUGCAUGACAUGCGGGCCAGCUGAAAUGCGGCGACCAUCAUGUUUCUACCAUAGCCACACGCGAUUCCCACGACGCCGCUCGAACCCAUGAUACCACACGUCCCCCGACCUGUGCCUCACCCCUCUCGGCACCACCGCCCCUCUGCCUUCAUGAGUAUGACAUGUAGACCAGCCACCUGUUGGGUCCACAUGUCAUUGACACAAAGGCAGGUGUAGUAAGGCGCUGAAGCUCAGUCUCGUGGGCCCCGAGAGGGAAAUGUAACUCCUGCGCCAGGCCUUGUGGUUCUAUUGUUGCACGAACUCGUGUCAAACUCGAGAUUUAUUUCUUACUACUAGUACCAAUGUGCCGGCCCGUGCGUUACAAUGGAUCCAAAGUAGUAGAAUAGUACUUAUUCACAAACUUGAAAUAUAAACACUCUAGUUUUGAUAUACAUAUAUCAGUAAAAAUAAAUCAUGCUUCACUCAAAAUAUUCUCCUCAGGCUGUUUUGAUGAGGUGAGGGACGGGUGUGGCUGGUUUGAAUAUAAGAACAGGUUUAAAAGAAUUGGAGCAGGGUUUUUUUAAACAUUUUGUAGCGUGGCACGGCAUCCAGUGCACCUAAGCGUCUGAAAAAAUUGGACUAUACUCUUAAGAUAUUUACAUGCUCCUAGUAUUGGAAUGCACUCUAAACACAUUAUCUGUUUAUUUUUCUCUAGCCUUUCCUCGCCAUGCAAACAUGCCACAUAAGCUAGUCAUGCAUGCAAUCCAUAAAUUGCAAUAUACUUGCGUUACUCUCCAGCAUGCAAUGCCGCCACACCAUCUAUUCAUGCCUGUUAGUCAUAGGUUUUUUUUGCAUUAGUCUUGUUCCUUCACAUGCAUAUCGGCGUCUUCAUAGGAGGAGAGAUAAUCUUGCAUGUCCCCCACCACCUGCAUAUCAGCGCGGGACUCCUCGAGCGCGCACUGUAGCUCGCGCUCCACCAGGGCGCGGCGGAGUCACGGGAUUUUCCUAAACCGCGAUGGGCACCAUGCAGUACUCCUCGUCGCCGGGGGCGCGGUGCUCGCGUCCCAACUUCUGGGGUACUGUCUGGGGCACAUGCUCAUCCACCUCGUGAGCCUCCAGGAUGCCACGCUGGCUGCCAUGCUGUCGGAGCACACACUCGUGCGCCUGAGCGACGAGGAUGCGAUGUUCGCGGGCGUGCUGCUGGAGCACGCCCUCGUCCACGUCGAGAGUGGCGAGGGUGCGAUGUUUGCGGGCGUGCUCACACCCACGUCGAGAGCGGCGAGGAUGCGAUGUUCGCGGGCGUGCUCUCAUCCACAUUGUGAGCGGCGAGGAUGCGAUGCACCUCCUCGUGACCGACCAGGGCGUGCUCCUGGAGCACGGCUACCCCUCGUGGCCGACGAGGGCGAGCCGCUAGAUCACACUAUCCUCCGCAUGGCCAACGAGCGCGCGCUACUCACGGACGUCGAGGGCGUGCUCCACCACGGCGAUGUCGGAGACUCCAUCCUCUUCCCAGGCCUCGGCGCCAUCCACUUCGGCAACAUCUGCGUGCCCCGGUGGGUGUUGUGUACGUAUGGGAGCUUCGAGCUACAGUACCAGUGGGGGCGGGGGUUGAUCUUUUCGUGGUUUCACAUGGUAUGAGGAGAAAUAUAGAAAAGUAGCACAAUAUGUUGGAACGUGUCGGAGGAAGGCUGGCAGGAGCAGUACAACAAACAUCACGUGCGCAGCAUAUUUUGAGAAGGGUUUAAUGUAAUUUGUGUGACAUGGGUCUGUGUGGAUGUACGAGUAGUACAUCCAUAUCAUUGACAUUCAUGCACGCAUCAAACAUUUGUGUUCACGAUUUCACCUAUUUUCAUAUUCUGUUUGGGAGUGGACUUUAUCUUUGUAAUUGGAGCUCAUUUUUGCAGAUGGUUUCAAUUUAGACCAUGCAUGUAUAUUGUGAGAGAUAGAUAUAGAGAGAAUAUUUUUGUGACAAAGAGAGAGAGAUAUAGCUUGACCAAAUUUGGUCAAAACAAUAUGAACAUUUACACUAACAAAGUUACAUGACGUGGAAAAAAGCGAUGAUAUAUUUGGUGGUGUAUAUGUUAAUACAUUUUCGUACAAACUUGUUGAAAGUAUAGAAAGAUUGACUUUAGAGAAACCCAAUAACUCUACUCUUAUCUCUACUUUUUUUCUUAUAAAAAACAAAGUUGGUGAUGAUGGUGUGCCUGCCAUCCUGCAAUAUUGGCCGUCCGAUCUAUAUGUGACAGAUAGGAAGGAAACUGUUGCAAUUUCGCAAAAAGACACCCGCACCCCUCUCCACAUUGCAGAUAAGGCCUUCCCACAUCCAUCCUUAUCUCCCACAAGAAUUAUGCAAAAGGAUACCCGCACCUCUCUCGUUCAUCCUUGUCUCCCACAACUUCAUUGUUGAGUAAAUAAAAAAGGAAGCCUAUGGAACAAUCUGGCAUGGUGUCCGCUGCCGCCGUCGUCCAUCCCAAUGCCUCUGCUAAGUCCAACCACCAAUCACCACCGCACCUCACUCCUCCUCACCUUAUCUCUCAUAUUUCUCGAGAUAUCAUUUUUAAUGAAAUUUCAAGAUUGAUAUACAAAUUGCCUCUGUUUUCCUAAUCUUUCAGAAUGUUUGGAUUACAGAAGUAUUCGAGAGUUACAGAUUACUACAAAUUGUUCUGUUUUUGACAGAUUCUGUUUUCUUUGUGUUGUUUGCUUAUUUUGAUAAAUCUAUGGAUAGUAUCGAGGGGUAUGAACCAUGGAAAACUUGGAAUACAGUAGAUAUUACACCAAUAUAAAUAAAGAAUGAGUUCACAACAGUACCAAAAGUGGUGAUUUAUUUUCUUAUACUAAUGGAGCUUAUGAGAUUUUCUGUUGGGUUUUGUGUUGUGAAGUUUUCAAGUUUUGGGUAAGGAUUUGAUGGACUAUGGAAUAAGGAGUGGCAUGAGCCUAAGCUUGGGGAUGCCCAAGGAACACAAGGUCACAUUCAAGGACAACCAAGAGCUUAAGCUUGGGGAUGCCCCGGAAGGCAUCCCCUCUUUCGUCUUCGUCUAUCGGUAACUUUACUUGAGGCUAUAUUUUUAUUCACCACAUGAUAUGUGUUUUGCCUGGAGCGUCUUGUAUGAUAUGAGUCUUUGCUUUUUAGUUUGACACAAUCAUCCUUGCUAUACACGCCUUUUGAGAGGGACACACAUGAAUCGUGAUUUAUUAGAAUACUCUAUGUGCUUCACUUAUAUCUUUAGAGCUAGGAAAUUUUGCUCUAGUGCUUCACUUAUAUCUUUUUAGAGCACGACGGUGGCUUUAUUUUAUAGAAAUUAUGGAACUCUCAUGCUUCACUUAUAUUAUUUUGAGAGUCUCUAAAGAGUAUGGUAAUUUGCUUUAGUUAUAAAUUUAGUCCUAAUAUGAUAGACAUCCAAGAGGGGUAUAAUAAAAAAUAUCAUAUAAAGUGCAUUGAAUACUUUGAGAAGUUUUAAUCCUUAUAAUUGUUUUGAGAUAUAAAGAUGGUGAUAUUAGAGUCAUGCUAGUGAGUAAUUGUGGAUUGUAGAAAUACUUGUGUUAAAGUUUGUGAUUCCUGUAGCAUGCACGUAUGGUGAACCGUUAUGUGAUGAAGUCCGAGCAUGAUUUAUUUAUUGAUAGUCUUCCUUAUGAGUGGCGGUCGGGGAUGAGCGAUGGUUUUUUCCUACCAAUCUAUCCCCCUAGGAGCAUGCGCGUAUUACUUUGUUUCGAUAAAUAAUAGAUUUUUGCAAUAAGUAUGUGAGUUCUUUAUGACUAAUGUUGAGUCCAUGGAUUAUACGCACUCUCACCCUUCCACCAUUGCUAGCCUGUCUAGUACCGCGAAACUUUUGCCGGUACCAUACACCCACCAUAUACCUUCCUGAAAUGCCACCAUACCUACCUAUUAUGGCAUUUCCAUAGCCAUUCCGAGAUAUAUUGCCAUGCAACUUUUCACCAUUCCGUUUAUUAUGACACGCUUUAUCAUUGUCAUAUUGCUUUGCAUGAUCAUGUAGUUGACAUCAUAUUUGUGGCAAAGCCACCGUUCAUAAUUCUUUCAUACAUGUCACGCUUGAUUCAUUGCACAUCCCGGUACACCGCCGGAGGCAUUCAUAUAGAGUCAUAUUUUGUUCUAAGUAUCGAGUUGUAAUUCUUGAGUUGUAAGUAAAUAAAAGUGUGAUGAUCUUCAUUAUUAGAGCAUUGUCCCAUGUGAGGAAAGGAUGAUGGAGACUAUGAUUCCCCCACAAGUCGGGAUGAGGCUCCGAACGGAAAAAAGAGGCCAAAAAAGAGAGAAGGCCCAAAAAAAUGAGGGAAAAGAGAGAAGGGGCAAUGUUAGUAUCCUUUUACUAAACUUGUGCUUCAAAGUAGCACCACGAUCUUCAUGAUAGAGAGUGUCCUAUGUUGUCACUUUCAUAUACUAGCGGGAAUUUUUUAUUAUAGAACUUGGCUUGUAUAUUCCAAUGAUGGGCUCCCUCAAAUUGCCCUAGGUCUUCGUGAGCAAGCGAGUUGGAUGCACACCCACUUAGUUUCUUUUUUAGCUUUCAUAAACUUACAACUCUAGUGCAUCCAUUGCAUGGCAAUCCCUACUCACUCACAUUGAUAUUUAUUGAUGGGCAUCUCCAUAGCCCGUUGAUACGCCUAGUUGAUGUGAGACUAUCUCCUUCCUUUUGUCUUCUCCACAACCACCAUAUUCUAUUCCACCUAUAGUGCUAUGUCCAUGGCUCACGCUCAUGUAUUGCGUGAAAGUUGAAAAGGUUUGAGAACCUCAAAAGUAUGAAACAAUUGUGCAUGAUUUGAAUAUUUUGUGUGAUGAGAAUGGAGCAUAGCCAGACUAUAUGAUUUUGUAGGGAUAAGCUUCCUUUGGUCAUGUUAUUUUGAGAAGACAUAAUUGCCUUGUUAGUAUGCUUGAAGUAUUAUUGUUUUUAUGUCAAUAUCUUAUGGAUCUGAACAUUCAUGCCACAAUAAAGAAAAAUUACAUGGAUAAAUAUGUUAGGUAGCGUUCCACAUCAAAAAUUCUGUUUUUAUCAUUUACCUUCUAUAGGAUGAGCAGGAAUUAAGCUUGGGGAUGCUUGAUACGUCUCCAACGUAUCUAUAAUUUUUUAUUGUUCCAUGCUAUUAUAUUAUCUGUUUUGGAUGUUUUAUAUGCAUUAAUAUGCUAUUUUAUAUUAUUUUUGGGACUAACCUAUUAACCUAGAGCCCAGUGCCAAUUUCUGUUUUUUCCUUGAUUUUGAGUUUCGCAGAAAAGGAAUACCAAACGGAGUCCAAACGGAAUAAAACCUUCACGGUGAUUUUUCUUGGACCAGAAGACACCCCAGAGACUUGGAGAUCAUGUCGGAACAGCCACGAGGCGGCCACAAGGGGGGAGGGCGCGCCCCCUGCCUUGUGGGCCCCUCGUGACUCCCCUGACCUAAUUCUUCGGCCUAUAUAUUCACAAAGAUUCCCAAAUUGCCAUAAGUAUCCACGAAAACACUUUUCCACCGCCGCAACCUUCUGUUCCCAUGAGAUCCCAUCUAGGGGCCUUUUCCGGCAUCCAGCCGGAGGGGGAUUCGAUCACGGAGGGCUUCUACAUCAAAUCUAUUGUAACAUCCCAAAUUGUCAAUUUGGAAUGUUAUACAUAGGUCAUUCAUGCAUAUCAUAUUUUAUUGCAUUUUCGUUUUACGAUCCUCGAAAUUCUAAGCAACUCAAGGACCCACGGAGAGAGUUGGGGAUUUCACGUUCUUCAUAUUUGAAUUUUAUCAAAUAUUGAACAAGGAUCAUUUUGGUUUUAAUAAUUUUUCUCUCUGAAAAUAUUUCGUAUUAAAAUAUAUGAGAGGAGAUAAUAUGACUUCUCCAAAAA
rnacentral:lncRNA from 1 species